rnacentral:lncRNA from 1 species
UGCUGCUAGGGUUUUGGGGGAAUUUGGAACAUAGUACAGUGAAGCAGGACAAGAUUGGGCUAGAGAUACAUUGCAUGGCAAGGAAGAUACAUGAAAACAGUGGCCUAUGCAAGCAAGAAGUGUAAAGAUCAUAAAGGCCACCAGAAUUUUUUUUAUUCCAGGAAACAUAAUGCCCAUUUUCCACUUAUUGAAUUUACUAUUUCAGUAUAAAAAGGAACAAGAGUUGGAGAACAAACAGAGCCCAAUAAAAAUAAGUUUAAAUUGAAAAGGCCAACUACAUUAGCCCCUGAUAUCAAAUUCCCAACAGGACAACCACAAGAAUUUUUCAAGGGAAAUUUUCUUUUCUUUUCUUUUUCUUCUCUUAUGGCUCCAUUUAGCAUGAAACUCAUCCAAAACUCAACAUUUUUUUUGAAGUAGUUUCAGCACAAAAGGAUAAUAAGUAACAAUAAUAAUAAAUUUACAACUUAAAUUUAGUUUCUGCACCCAAAAACACUUCACCCGGAAAAAAUUUCCCUUGAUACAAACAGAAUUAUAAGUCAAUGCAAACAACAAUUUCAGCAAAAACGACCCAGAACUGAUAAAAGAUAGUUAUGUUAAAUUAAAAUUUGAAAGUAUUGAAAACAGAGGUGGCUAUGAACAACAACGGAACACAGAAAGACAGUAAAAACCAUAGAAACGAAGAAAGGUGUAUAAGAGAAAAAUGUGAGGUGAUGGGUGUUAAGGAAGUGGAGUUGUUCCUGACAUUUCAGAAGAGAACAUAAGAGAGGAUCCAAAUUUUCCAGAAAAUGCGGUUUAAAACAGCCACUUGGACUACACUGGGUUUGCUCUCUCCAUGAAACCCAUGUCAGCGUACCCACGCCGGCUUUGUUUCUUCUUGAGGACUCUGUUUGUUUGGAGGGAAAAUGUGAAAAGCUUUUCCAUAUAAAAUAACUUCCAAUAAUAUUUUAUUAACUUUGAAAAGUCAUUUUGUAUUUAUUAAGAUUCUAAUCAAUCAUUAAAUUCAAUUCUUUCUGCCACUGAGUUUGAAAAAAUCACAUUCCUUAAAACAAGAAUCUCUGGGAAAAUAAUGGAAUAAUCAUCUCUAAAUCUAUCAGCAAAAUCUAAUUUAAUAUUACAGUGUAUAUCAAUUAUUAGAAUUUUUUUUUACAAUAUGUGAAUUCGCUCAGAAACAAUUGAUGACAAGAAAAUAAUACAAAGGAAGCAUCAAACAACAUGGAUCCCAUUUCAAUAUAUCUUGUAUAGAUUUUCACAGGCCGUAUUGGACUUCUGUCUCAUCUGCCAUCUUCCCAUUUGAGUAUGAAGCAGAGGCAGCAAAGGAGCCGAAAUCAGUAACGGUUGCAGCAGAAGAGGGUACUGGUACAAAGAUUCCACUGGGUCGAGCUUCUGGCAAAUCCAUUAGAGGUUCAUUUGGAUUGAGAAGGAUUUGAAUCACCUUCCUCAUCCUAGGCCUGAGCAUAAAAUCUGGAUGCAGACAAGCAAGGCCUACCACUAGAGUCCUCUUCACUUGCUCCUCAUCGAACUCGCCUUUGAGCAUGCUGUCCACACAUUGGAGCAAUGCAUCCUUUCCAUGCAAAAUCCAUACAUAAUCCACCAAGCUAGUCUCCUCUGUAAUUCCUCUUGAUCUCCUUCCACAAACCACUUCCAGUACCACCAUGCCAAAGCUAUAGACAUCAGAAUCUGGUGUCGCCUUUCCAGUGAAGCCCACCUCAGGAGCCAAGUAUCCUGGAGUCCCUGCAAGCAUAGUUGUAACCGAGGCGUCGUUUUGGAGCAAUCUUGCAAGCCCAAAGUCACCCAAUUGAGCAUUGUAAUCAGAAUCCAACAUGAUGUUGUUGGGCUUGACGUCUCUGUGAACCACAGGGUUGCCACACUCUUCAUGGAGGUAGAGUAAUGCAGAUGCCAACCCUGUUAAUAUUUUGAACCUGGUUUUCCAGUCAAGAAAACACCGGCCAAUGAAGCGAUCAAGGCUGCCAUUCGACAUAUAUUCAUAUACUAGGAGGAGAUGCUUGCCCUCAUGGCACCAUCCCUGGAGUUGUACUAUGUUUUUGUGCCUCAGGCGGCCUAUAGUGCAUAUUUCUGCCAAAUACUCCCUCUCGCCUAUUCACAUUUGAAGUAGUUCAAAAAAAAAUAACAGAUAAGUGUGUUUGAAAACUUUCCAUGAAAAUUGUCGUUUGGCAUACUAGUUCAUGAAAAGUAAUAUGAUUCAGCUAGAACAUAUACCUUGCUUUGAGGUUGCUGAAAUCUUCUUGACUGCUAUAGGGGAAGGAUGAUCAGACAAAAUGCCUUUGUAAACAGUUCCAAAUCCACCAGCCCCCAACAGGUUUUCUUUGCUGAAGUUGUGGGUAGCCUUUGAGAGCUGUUUAUAAGUAAACAUUUUAGGGACAUUUGCAGCAGACCUUGAGCGGCUUUCGAAAUCUUCUCUGUCAAUCCUCCCAUUUCUCCUCUUGACAACUCUCAGGACUGAAAGAAUCCCACACAUCACCAAAACCAACAUAGCCACGGUGACUGGAAAAACAAUGAUCAAUAUGGUUUUUGUUUUAUCAUUUCCACUGCACUUGGAAGAGCUACAUGUUAUCGGUAUUGAUGUGAAUGCCCAGUCAAGGACCUGAUGGGUCUCUGAAACAGUCCCAGUGGAGCCUGUAAAGCCCACAUAGACAGAGCUUGGAACCGUAUCUGACAAGGCUAUGGAAUGGUUGAGAAAGCUCAGAAGAGGAUUCCCUGCAUACCCAACAGAAAUGUGAAGGGUCUCUCUCCAUCCAUCAUAAUCAAUCUUAACCUUGACUUCUCUUCCACUUUUAAGAUCGACCCCAGUGCCACUUAGGCUCUUUGCUGCAAUUGGAAUCGCUAUGCUUGUUGUAUCAAUCCCAAUAUGGUUAGCAUCUGGGUCAAACUCAUUCAUAUAGGUGUCUAGCUCCACAGCUAGCUGACGAACAACCCCACCUGCAUUUGCAAAACCAUCAAAAUAUUAUUUGCAAAUUAAAACUUUAACUCAUGACUUGGAUAAAGAAAUCAGUCCAUCGACUGGAAUUUCAGUGUUUAAAAAUAAAUUAUAUUUGUAUUACUAGUGCUUUGCUCUUAAUCAUGUGGAUAUUAUCUAUUUUGAAUUUGAAAGACCCGUGGCUUUAAAAAGCUUCUAUAAAGUUAUAAAGAGUUCAUAUAUAUCAUCACAUAUGAAUGUGAAAUGACCAUAGCGUCCUUACCUUCAAGUUUGACUGGUCAUACUCAUAGGGUCGAUUCCCCCUCUAGUAUGAGAGUUUGUUUCAGUCCAUAAGGGAUGUUGGUUUGUUUGGUCCCUAAUUUUGUGGGAUAGAAUGAGGACUUUGUGUCUAUUAAGGUAAUUAUGAUAUCCGGCGUCAUCAAAUUAGGGAAAAAGUUCUUAACAACUACACAUAUACAGACUCCCCUUAGUGGACGCGUUUUAAAAGUGUAGGAGCCCUUCAACCUAGAACGUACAGUAGUAUCUAAACGAAUUCACAAUAUCUAACGGGAGUAUUCACAAUACCUUCAGUUGACCUGUCCAGGAUUCCAAGAAACGAGCCAAAGCUACCAGCUGGGGAGGGUUGGCUAUCCUGUGCCAUGAUAAAGGCCAUUCCAUCGCCAGACCCAGUUGAAUUGGGGAAGGGGGAGAUCCUAACUGUGAAGGUGGUAGUGAUAAGUGCCGGCCAUGCUUGCACAGGGUGACGAUAUAAAACCCUCCCAACCAUGUUUGUUGAUGAAGUUGGUGAAGUUUCAUUCUCAUGUGGGGGUUGUGGAGUGAUGUUCAAAUACCCUUCACCUGCUGUCACUGAGCCCAUGCAGAUCAGUUUACUGCCAGUGCCACAAUUUCCUGGAUCAAAAGAGGAGAACGAGAAGGAGAUGGGUUCUGCUAAACUAAAAGCAGCUUGGUUCAGAAAGCCACAGACAACCAGAAGCAUAAACAUGGCAACCGAUCGAUGAUAGAGACCAAGGCACUACUCUUCUUAUGGGCAUGUACAUGUAGGGGAUAUAAGUAGGCUAUUAUCAAUUGAAGCCUAUGUUGUUUUGAGCGAAGUUGAUGUUUGAAAACAAAAACCAGUAUUAAACCAUGAGGAAAAUUAAAUUCCUUUCUUUGUAUGCUUUUGAGAGCUAACUCAAGCAACAUUAUUGACUUCUGACCAAGAGAUGCAAAUUCUUGUCUUCUUCUCUGGCCUCUUAAAACAUAAAACCGUUAAUAGACAAAAUCCCAUUCAACAAGAAUCACAAAAUAUUAGUCCAUCACACUUACCAAAGAAUACCCUAUAGAUAUAAGAAAAAAGCACCUUAAGUGCUUUCUUCCACCUUUGUCCUUCUAAUCAACUAUGCAUGCAAGUGAUGACCAUGAAAAGAAAUGGCCUCCAAUUGAAUUAUAUCAAAUCCCUCCCAAAAUAAAAAGUAAAGACUAUCUAUUCAGUUAAUUUUCUCCAUGUAAAUCCCAGAAUAGGAAAGGUCUGCAACUGUGUGUUGGGUGGUCAAGCCAAUAUUAUGGCUGUCGUUGGAUCCUAACACUGAUGUUUGUUAGGACUUAGGAUAUCCAUCACACACUAAAAAUAAAAUCUAUUGGAUAUCUUUCAGGUGGACCAGUGCAACGGAAAAUUAAAAUAAAAGGAAAUAAACUCUAAAUUAAAAAUAGCUAGCCACGUGGACUAAGCAAGCUUUUUACAGGAAAAAAAUGUUAGGAUAUCCAUCACACUAAAAAUAAAAGGAAAUAAACUCUAAAUUAAAAACAGCUUUUUACAGGAAAAAAAAAAGAUGGGAAACAAAAUUGGCAUGCCUGCCAAACAGGCAACAGAAGGGCUAAAAUUAAGUAACAACUUCUGUUGAUGAGAUUACCCAGACAAUGAUGACAAAAGGCUGACAGCCAAGCAAAGACAUGAGAAAACAUUGGCACCACACAUCAUAGCUUGUAGCAGUUUCUUAUUCUGGAAUGCACUGCUCCAUUCAUCCUGGUUGGGAUUUAUAUAUUGGUUGAUUGUUCAGAUGUUGAAGAUCAGAAAGUAAAAGAAAGAAGCAAAGUGAGACAGGUUGAGAGCAGUUCUUCUAAGUCACAAUAAUUUGUGGGGGAGAUAUAUAUAUAUAUAUAUAUAUACAAGAGGGGAGACGACCAUGAAGCUCUGGAGAAGGGCUUCUGGGACUUUGAAAGACAAGAACAGCAUGUUGAUUGCAAGUCUGUCAAGUAGGAAUGCUCCCUGGAACCCAAGAUUUGAGGUGACAAUCAUAAAAGCUACAAGCCAUGACGAAUCAGAAGUGGAUUAUGAGAACAUCAAACGAGUCUUUGCAUGGCUGCAUGCUUCUCCAGCCUACCUAAAGCCUCUUCUCUCUUCUCUCUCUACGCGUCUGCAGAAGACAUGUAGUUGGGUGGUGGCCUUAAAGGGUCUGGUGCUCAUGCAUGGUGUUCUCCGUUGUAACAUCCCCGCUGUGCAGAACAUCGGUCGCUUGCCAUUUGAUCUAUCGAAUUUCAGAGAUAGUUACAGGAAAUCAGGAAGAACUUGGGGUUUAAACACUUUUGUUCAAUCUUACUUUGCGUUUCUGGAUCAAACAUCUGCCUUCUUGUACAUGGAACGGAAGGAAGAGAGCAAAGAAACAGAAUCAGCCCUGGUGCAAGAGCUUGUGAAGCUGCAGCAAUGGCAGUCAUUGCUGGGUAUCUUACUUCAAAUCAGACCACAGGCCAAGGAAAUGGAUAUAGCUCUUGUCUAUGAAGCUAUGAACUGCGUGAUCAUCGAGAUUUUCAGUUUCUACAACAGAAUCUGCAAUAGGGUCGCAAGAGUUCUUACCGGGAUAUAUGCAGCUGAAAAGGUUGAAGCAGCCAUGGCACUUGAGAUUCUUCAGAAAGCAUCACAGCAGCGUGAACAACUCGCUCUAUAUUUAAAUUUCUGCAGGAAGAUUGGUGUUUUCAAUGAGUCAAAAUUCCCAGAAGUUGAACAGAUCCCAAAAAAGGAUAUCCAAAAGCUUGAGCGGAUUGUCAGUGGAGUCUCAGAAAAUCAAGCCACGGUAGUGAAGACAAUUGAACCCAAAGAGGAGCAGGAGGAACCCAAGAGGGUUUUAAAGACCAUAAUCACUGAAACGUGGGAGGUUUUUGAUGAAGACCCAGACAGCAAUGGAAUUGGCUUCUCUAAUAUUCCAGGAAAAACAACUGUUGGGCAAAAUCCUUCUGCAGCUCCUUUGAAAUUUCCACCCAACACACAUGGCCAGAAAUAUGAUUUCCCAGAUUUAAUAAGUUUCUUGUAGUUGGAGUGAGACUUGUAUCUGAAUUUUGUCUUAACAGGCCUGGCUUGCAGAGUAGAGGGUUGAGGUGGGUGAGAAUGGAGAGGUUUCAUGUCUGAUUCCAUGUAUCAAACAGAAAAAUUACUCAAAAACGGGAUUUUCACUUCCUUAAAGAAAAUUUGAGGCUUCAGCUUAAUAUUUUGCAGCUGUUUCCCAAAUUCAAUCUCUUCUUCUUAUUCUUCUUUUAUUUAUAUAUAUAUGUACUUUUGUUGGUGAAAUGGUGUACAUCCUCAUGUGAGUUAAGUUGCUAUGAAUGGCAAUCCAUGUACACAUAGAAGGCCAUUUUCAAGUAAUGUGAAGUAAACAUCAUUCCCAAGCAUGAAAUGAAAAUUAUUUUCAUCACAAUGUACUCUCCAAGAAAAUAACUUUUUUGGAUUUACUUUUCAUCCAUAUUUUAUAAAUAGUGCAUGUUUACAUAAAUCCCCUUAAAGUUUAAUACAAUUUUUUUAAUUUCUUUUAAUCUUAUCCUCCUAUUAUACAAUGCCAGACCUUUGUGUGAGGCAAAAAAUAGAAAGGAAAAUUAAAAAUAAGAAUAAAUAAAUUUUAUUCCCCUUUUUAACAAUUUCUUCUUCUUCUUCAAGAAUUUGGAAAUCAAUUUAACCCAUUUUCUUCAUAUUUCAUGAUUGAAAAUAAUUGUAAAAACAUUUUAGAGAACUAGAAAUGGCAGAAUGCAUGACCACUAUAAAGUUCUUACAAAAAAAAAAACCAUAAGUUUCCCUUACGGUUAACUUUAAACUCAUUUCCUCAUUUUAAUGUUAAAACUAAGUAAUUUUAACAUUAACACCUAAUAAGUAUUUCUUCCAACAAAAAGUUACCUCUCAUCAUGCAUCACCAUACCAAACAUUAAAAUAUUUUUUAUUCAUAUUUCAACAUUAUUAAAAUAUUUUAACAUUCUUAUUUAUAUCUAAAAAUCAUUAAACAAUAAAAAAAAUCACUUUAAUUGAGUGUUAUUGACAGAUCCACCAUUCAACCUGCAGCUGGUAAAAACCACCUAUGUAGUUUAAAAAAUAUAUAUAUUCUUAAAGGCUGAAAGCCCAUCUUGUUUAAGUUCUUUACAACAGUCCAACAUUUGACAAAAUUUCAAAAAUCUAAAAUCAUUUGAAACUGACAAAAAAGCAACGCACGCUAAAUACAAUUUUACCAUGAGACAAAAAUCAUUCAAAAUACAAUAUUACAUAUAAUAUCUAUUUUUAAAAACAUAGAAAGCAUAUUUAAAACAUUCUAAAUCCCUAAACAUACUACUGCUCUAGAAAACAUCUGGAUACAAUAUUGCAAAACUGUUACAUAAAAUAGUUUUUGAAAAAGUUCCCACAUAUGUUGGAUCCGCUCAGACAAAAUAAACAGGGCAGCCAUUUUAUAACCAGCUAACCCUGAUUCCUGAAAUAUGUUGCAUAGCAAGCCAUUCUACCAGUAACUGGUCAGUUCCUCACAACAUACGAGAAUAUUGGUUACAGAUGCUGCCGUGAAAAAUACAUUAAUAAAAAACUCUAAAAAAAAUACAAAAAGCCUGUUUCGCAUCAUCAAAUAAUUAAAAUGACAAUCAUGAUAUGAUAGGACAUAGGAGACAGCAAAUCUAAUUUUAGAAAAAACCAAGUACUGCAUGUGGAUGCCGCGCAAUUGUUGCAGUUAAGUGUUAUAGCUUUUUUGUUCUAAUAAGCAAAACUAGCUAUUUCUCCAUGAUCAGCUGGGAUCCCCCCCAACCCAGGGUCUUUUAUAUAACUACAAUAACUCAUUAAGGCAGUGCAAAUCAAAUAGUCGGCCAUCUGCCUCUGCAAAGCAUCUGGGUUUUAACCAUAUUCAACAUUAGUGCAACCAAGUUCCAACAAAAACCUAACCAGCUGAUCAAAAACGCUUUCCCUGCUAUGAAGCUUCUGUGUAGCCCACCCGAGUUUCAUUACGAUGGCACUGCAUACAAAAAAUUUUUAAAACAUAAGCACAACUUGGAGAUGAGUUGUGCAAAAAUAAAUGAUAAUAGAACUGGGCAAAAAUUUAAUAUGCAUUCCUUAUUAUCAUUAAACAGUAAUAUUUGCACAUAUUAGCUGAACACCGAAAUAUUAAAUUAAGAAAACAGAAAAUAAUAAUUUAAAAAAAAAAAAAAAACAAUAGAACACAUUAAUAAGAAUAUAAUCCAUCCAAUUAGAACGAGCUGGUUGUCCUAAAGAGGAAAAUAAUAAUUCUGUGAUCAUUAUGCUGCUUUUUGAAUGAGGGCAAUUUUUAAAGUUUAAGUGGAAGAUAUCCAAAUGAACUGGAGCAUGUACAAAAACUCAUCCAAUGAACAGAGUCUGUUGGUCCAAGAGAAAGACAUAAUACUUGACAAAUACAAUUUGGUUCCAACUACACAACACAGUGAUAACUUGGGCCCAUCUUGACAACAUGAAAUCACAAUUGCUUGUUUACAGAACCCAAACAAUUUCGGGUAAGGAAAUUGGUAAGGGGGGUAGAACUACCAUUCAAAGAGGAAGCGGGGAAAGAAAAUACCAAAAAAUUGUUAGUUGCAUUAUGCAUGAGACACAUUUUGCAAAAUCACCCCAAAUCAGCAGGAUCUAAAGGAAAAGGAGCUACAGGCAUGAAUUCAAUGCAAGAAACAUCCAAAAACUACAGAAGUAAAUACAAAGCAAAACCAUUGAGCUAAAAGGCAAAUACAACACCAUAUGUGAAUAAACAAAAACAAUAUCACAUGAAAACAUAUCAGACAAGUUAAAAAAAGAAAAAAAAAAAGGUUUAUCAUACUUUACCCCCCAACUUAUAGCGUGUUUUGUACAAUGCCCCAUCGAAUUCAAAAUUGAGCAAUGUAACGCUCAUCCUUUAUAAUUGCAUGCAAUGUACAUUUUUUUAAAGAGAACGUUAAUUUUUUAACAAAAAGGCAUGUACUCUCCACGUGAUCGAGGGCAAAAUGAUCAAUUUUUUGGGUUUAUUACACUUUACCCCCCAACAUAUAGUGUGUUUUGCAUAUUGCUCCCUUGAGUUUUAAAAUCGAAUAAUGUACCCUCCAUCCUUUAUAAUUGUAUGCAAUGUACAUUUUUUGAGAGAUAACGUUAUUUUUUUUUUUUACAGAAAGGCAUGUGUUCUCCACGUAAUUGAGGCCAAAAUGGUCAAUUUAUAAAACCCUAACCAGUCUGCCCUCCUCUUCCUUCGUUCUUCUUUUCUCUUCACCCUUUUUCUCUCCUCCCCCAAUCAAUGACUAUGUCUCUUGAAAUUUCAACCUUAAAACCAAACCAGGGUAAGUAUUCAGAGAUAGGCUUUAAAGAAGGAUGUGAUGAAAACAACAAAAAAAAAACCCAAAUUCCAAACCCAUAUUCCAUUUUAUUCAAACCGACAGCUCCCACAAUUCAACAUAAUCGGGUUUAUGGCUAUAAGGAGUUGAAAAUCCAACUUCAAUGUCAAAGCUCAAACCCUCCAAAAGAUAGAAUUAAAAGAGGGAAAAAAACACUUCAAUUUGGUAUGAUUACCUCCAAUCACAACCAAACAUCCAAAAAAACCAAGCUUUUUGAAAAAACCCAAAUCAAGAAUCUGGAAGACCCACAUUACACAAUUCUGCAAAUUUUUUGACAAAAAUUUUAACAAAACCAAACUUUUCCUUGAUGGUAUCUUUUUAUAGAUAAAAAACAGAUGUCCAAAUGCUUAUCUAGCAUAGACCAUAGUGGAAAUAUGAAAGAGAAAAAGUAGAGAGAAGAAGAAGAAUGAAGGAAGAUAAGGCUGGUUAGGGUUUUUUUAAAAAUUGACCCUUUUGCCCUCGUUCACAAGGAGGGUACAUGCCUUUCCGUAAAAAAAAAUUAACAGUCUCUCAAAAAAUACACAUUGCAUUCAAUUAUAAAGAAUGGAUGAUACAUUGCUCGAUUUUGAAACUCAAGGGGGGGCAAUGUGCAAAACACACCAUAUGUUGGGGGUAAAGUGUAAUAAACCCAAAAAAUUGACCAUUUUGUCAUCGAUCACGUGAAGAGCACAUGCCUUUCUGUUAAAAAAAUUAACACCCUCUCUCAAAAAAUGCACAUUACAUGUAAUUAUAAAGGAUAGGGGGUACAUUGCUCAAUUUUAAACUCGAGGGGGCAAUGUGCAAAACAAGCCAUAGGUUGAGGGGGUAAAGUGUAAUAAACCCAAAAUAAAAAUAAAAAGCAUCUUCAUAGUUAGUGAAUAUUGUGCAAACUUAUUGAGCUAAUCAGUGAGCAUAAUACCAAUCAUCAAGUAAAUCAACAAAAACAUCGCAUUAACAUUUAAGAAGACAUACUGUAUGUAGAGGUAUCAAUCUGCUCAGGGAGCUCCUUAAUAUCCACCUCAAAUCUCUCCUGGACCUGUAAUCAUUGAACCAGACAAAUUAGAUUCACAAAUAUAUUAAUCAACAAAACAAUGCAAACAAAAACCCAAUAAUUCCCAACCUGAUUAAGAACAUCAGAGUCAGAAGCUGAUGAAACAAAUGUAAUUGCAAGUCCUUUGGUGCCAAAUCUUCCAGCUCUACCAACCUGCCAAGAAUAUAAUAAUCAAGUAAAAUACAUAUAGCUAUGAGAGCACUGUACAAGGGAGGUACACUGGUCUUAGAUAAAAUAACAUGAUUAGAUUGGGCAUACCCUGUGCAGAUAAGUGUCUGCAGAAUCUGGCAUGUCAUAGUUUAUAACAAUAUUGACACGCUCAAUGUCAAUUCCCCUACCAACCAAAUCCGUGGCCACAAGAAUCCUUUUAUGCCCCUCCUUGAAACCCUUGUAGCGUGUCAACCUACAACAAAAGGCAUGUCAUUCAGCUCAAUGGAAUAUCAUGACAUCGGGGAAAACAACUCUGUCAAGCAACAAGACAGCUGUUUAUAAUGGAUGGUAGAGGAGGAAGCCCCAUGAUUCUCGUUAAGCAAAGAGAAUAUACAACCAAGCCAGUUACAGUCUAAUCUCAACUACCAAAUAAAUCAGAUAUACAGAACAAUAAAAAAAUAGAGGCUUAAAAAUUGGCAAAAUUGGUCCCGCAUAAAUAAAAAACAUCUCUUCGAUUUGGUCCCAAGCAAGUUAUAUGACCUCAGCAGUAGAAACAAUUAGCAUUUAUUAAGAAAAAAAUUGUCUUGAAUCUAGAGAGUGAAUGCACUCAUCACAAAUUCCAUAGCAAAGGCUCCAAUAAAAAUAAAUAAAUGCUUAGGCAUUCAUAAUCCCAAGCUCGAGACAUCAACUAAAAAGUACACAAACAAAAAACACAACAAAAAUAAACAACAUAAACAGCUAAUACCCAGGCCUAGCCCCAGAAAUAAAAAAGUUUAAAGAAAGAAAAAUUAUCCAUUGGCUUAGGCCAGUUCAUAAGAAAAAAUCAACCUGCUUCUGAUUUGUUAACUUAAUUGCUCAACCAUAGAAUUCUUCCAAUCAUGGCAAAAUCCAGAACAUGAACAAAACUUUAAGGCCGCAUCAUUAGUCUAGAAUCUUAAUGUUGCUUGAAACAUCAAGUGAACCAAUGGAAAAAUCCUCUCUUUUGCCCAGAACCCUCCACCUUUCAUCACCAAUGUUAUUACAGGCCAAGUAUUAGAAAGAUGUCCUAAUCCAAGAAAUAAGGCAUAAAGCAUGUUUACAGCAUUCAUUACACUUCAUGUGGGAAUCACACCUAGUCAAUCUCCAAAUUAAGUUGCAAGCGGUAUAGAGUUAGCAGUUUAAAUGUUCUACACCAGGAAUAUCUCAAUCCCCUCUCAGCAAUAACCACCACUAUUAUUUCAAAUGGAGACAAAUAUAUUUAAAAACUUCAGUUUGCAUCACAGAAUCAUUCCAUCCAUAAAUAAGGCUUGCAUCCUAGCCUUUAGGAUCAUAGAUAAGAAUACAGACAGUUUUCUAUUCUUGCCUCUAUUUCAGCACUACCUGUUUUCCAGCCUAGCAAGAGCACUACAAGGAGGCAGCACCACAUUUUCAUCCAAACUCUGGGCAUAAGUUACAGCCAUUAUGGUGCAAAUACCAAAGAAGAUAGGAAGAUAGAAGUUGGAGAAUACAGGUAGAGCAAGCAAUGACCAAUCAGAAUUUUAAGUGCACAAUCAUAGUUCUGAAAGGCACAAAAAUUUCCUAGGGCCUAGAUAGAAGGCACACUGAGCUAUGUGAGGCCCAACCUAGGACACACCUGCUUUUAUAAAAUGUAUAGUAAAUUUUGACAUGAAAACACCUGUCAUGCACUCUUUUAUCACCAAUUACCAUCCAAAUCAAUCCAGGUAACAAUAAAUCAAGAUUCACAGCAUUUAAAAGAAGCAUCCCACUAAAGACAAUGAACCAAUAUAAAAUUUUCAAUCUGGAGUCAGAAAUUUUAAAAACAAAAAAGUGUUAAAAUGCUACGUUUAACUGUUUGGCACUGAGAAACAUAGAAUAGAGGAAGAUACACUUUUUGGAAGCUGACAGUUUUCAACACAAUGUAACUACUCCGUUUAAAAGUCAAUGUGAACAAGUCCUAGCCAAACAAUAAAGAAUCAAUAGCUUAACAUGCAUCAAGUUAAAAUUAUAUAAAUACACCUGUUUUUUUGUCUGACAAGCAGAGAAGUAGCCAUACAAAUGAUACCAACCUUUCUUCCUGGGGCAUCCCAGAAUGGAUGCAGAUAGACGGGAAAUUGCACUCCACAAGUAACUUGUUCAGCUCUGCGGCUCUACUCACACUUUUGACGAAGAUAACAACUUGAUUGAAGUCCAAUGCAUCAAGGAGAUCAUUCAACUUGCGAUUUUUCUCAAGCUCACUCAGUUUGAUGUAGUGCUGCCCUCAAAAGGUAUCAAGGUGAGAUAAAUACAAAUCACCAACAACAGUCCAACAGAAACUUAAUGGUUAAAAUUAUACCUGUACAAGACCAUGAAGGGUCAACUUGGCCUCGUCAUCAACAUAAAUUUCCAUAGGCUGAAAGGAACAAAUGUCACAGUAAAGCAUAUUAGGAGCCUUCUUCAAGGCAAGUACGAAAUGAAUGAUGGACGCACAUCCCUUGAAUCAAGAUUCUGGUCCAUCUGAUUUGCCUCCAUCCAGGUAACUUUUUAAGUCACACCAAACAAGUCCCACUGUCGCUCAACCAAAUCGAUAAAAAAAAAAGGGGGAAAAGAACUAUAUGAGACUGACAAUGCAACCCACAUACCCCACCAACCAGCAUCAACCCCAACUUGAUUACCACACCAUCAGACUAAAGAAAACAUCAAUGGACUACAGAACAUGACCCAAAGGAAAAAUAAGCGGAAAAUGUUAAGACAUUUAUCCUAUGCAACUAUGAAACGUUCUAAAGGGAUCCAUGCUUAUUUUACCCUCUUCUAGCUACCACCCUUCCCUAUGAAGCUACAUUUCCCAACAGAAAUGUCUUGAGUAAAGGCACUGCAUUAACACAACGUGAAUGGCAAGCAUACAGUGCUGGGACCACCAGAUUCCCAGAUAUCUAGUUAACUCCUGCAGAAAGCUGGCAUUAUGAAAAAGGAUGACUUCUAAAUUCAAGUAGUACUGGCCAUGAGACAUUACAUCUUGCAUAAAUUUCUUGCAAACAGGGCGGAUUUCCUUGCUGAGGGUUGCUGAAAACAUCAUAACCUGCUUAUCAUGAGGAGUCAUCUUGAAGAUCUCUUGAACAUCCCUCCUCAUGUCUGCAAAACAAACAGGGCAAAGAAAUAUGGAAAAUAAAACAUGAAAAUAGUUAAAAUAUAGACAAGAAAUCAAAACAUCUUGAAGAUCAAACAUUUAACAAAGAUGAACAUUGGGCACAAAAAACAUACCAAGUGAUUCAAGCAUCUUGUCACAUUCAUCAAGGAUAAAGUGUCUCACAUUCUUUAAAGCAAGGUCCUUGUCUCUAGCAAGUGCCAGUAUCCUUCCAGGUGUUCCAACAACAAUAUGAGGGCAUUCAUUUUUUAAAAGAUCCUUGUGAAUUUUUAUAUUGACGCCACCAUAGAAAACAGCAACCUUGAUAUCAGGUAAAUAAGUACUGAAUCUCUCGAACUCGUGGCAGAUCUGCAGUUGGAAGAUAGAAAUAAUGAAACAAAUAAGUCAUUUUCAUUCUUUUAAUUUAAACAAAAAAAAAAAAAAAUCUUUAAAAGAGAUGAGUUGAAACGGAGAUCUUGGUUUUGAAACAUACCUGGUAAGCUAACUCCCUUGUAUGGCAUAGAACGAGAGCUGCGACUUGACCUGUGACAGGCUCAAUUUGUUGCAGGGUUGACAGAACAAACACAGCAGUUUUUCCCAUCCCCGAUUUAGCUUGACAAAUAACAUCCAUGCCCAAGAUAGCUUGAGGGAUACACUCAUGUUGCACUGAUGAAGAACCAAAGAAAAUCGGAGCGAAGGAACCCUCAGUAAGUAAAAUAUGACCUCCCUGGUCCUUUUAAUUGAAAGGUUUACUAAACCAUUUUACUUCUCCGAAAUCAAGAGUAUGAUAAUAGUGAAUUACCUGAAAAUUGAACAUCACAGUAAUUUAGAAGGGCAAUGCCAGCAAGCCAGACUUACCAAAAGAUACAACAUGGACAAACAUCUAACACAAGCAUAAAACAACAUAAAAUUCAAUACUUUGCCAACAGGUUUAGUUCUAGCAGACAUUAACAGAAGUCAUCACCACCAAACGAAAAUAAUACUGAAAGACCAAAUGAAAGUCAAAGUAAGAGCCAGACAAAUGUGAAGUGACAAAGAGGGAGAAAAACCAAACUUCAUGACCAAGGCAAUUUUUUGAUAAAACUGAAACCUUUAGCCUAUAAAAGGUAAAUUCACUAUUAGGCGAAUAAAAUGAGAGUGGAUGGUAAUAUUGGUUUAACAGUGUAAAAUCACAAAAAGGAAGAGCAUUCAAUUUUCAGCAACGAGUCAACAGGUCCAAGCUGAAUUUUGCAGUGCCAUUUUCAGUGAAUACAGAAAUGUCAGUGAUUAACAUUGCAUGGUACUAAGUCACCAUCCAAAUUUAGCACUGAAAAUUUCAGUCAUUAGCACUAACUUUGUUAUCAAACAGACCUAAAGAAAGAAAACCACAAAAUAGAAAACCAAAGAGCAGAAUGAAGGAAAGCAGCACAAUAGUUGGGAAAAAAUGAAGCAGAUAUGAAGAGUCAACUAAAUGCCAGUUCUACUACUUUACCUCUUUGAAAUGGCCUAACUGGUCUUACCAUUUUGGAAACACACAAAUAAGAAGUCUGUUGAGUACCAACAAAAACCAGGGAAAAAAAAUAAUAAUAACAAACAAACAUACAACUACAGGAAAAGUACACUGGAGGCCACAUAAAAUGUCAAGUGACAUUUUUUUUAACCAUAGAAAUAGGUAAAACUGGUACCUGCUAAAGGUCCUGCAGUAAAACCUCAAUAAAUAAAUGUUCGAUAAAUUAAUGAUCUUGCUUAAAUAAUAAAAUCUUCUAGUCCCAAAUCGGACCAAUGUACUAAAUUAAUAACCUCGCUAAAUGCAUAAAAUAAUAACUUUUUUAGAAAUCUUUAAGGGCUCAAGGAAAUAUAAAUUAAUAAUUGAUGAAGUCCAUAAAAAAUAGCAAACAAAAAGUCAUAAUUCAGUAUUGAGUAACUUUUUGCAACUUCUAAUCUUCUCUAUUCAACUCUUUAUCAUAACCAUCACAUACUUGAAACCUCUUUACCUUCUAGGGGAUUAAAUUUUGACACUGCAUCUCUUCCUUUUAGAAGUUUUUCUAUCUUCUACAAUUAAUAGUCAUCUCUUCUUUUUUAGAGUACUUUAGGCUUCUAUGUAUUAACUUUACACCACAUCCAGUGUUUUUGGAUUUAUAAGUCAUAUUUGUACAAGUACUUACAGUAAAAACAUAAUACUCUCUCCAAAUUAAUCAAUUUCACAGAUAAAUUAAUAAAUUAUUCAUCUAUUGAUAAAACAAUAACCCUGCUAGGAUAAUAAUUUCUCUUGGUCCCAAGAGUCAUAUGUCAUAACAAUUUUACUGUAUUCAACAAUAGCAGGCUAACAAGGAUAUCCAGAGAAUCUAGAUUUGUUCAAAAAUAAAUAAUUAAAUGAAAAGAUGAAUUCUAACUCUUGAGUGGCUCAUAAAUCUCAUCAAAAACAUAGAAAACAAUUCAGUAAAACUUCAUGACAAAUAAAUGCUAAUUUCCAUGCACUUUCUACCACUGUAUUGAGACAACCAUAAUAUAAAGCACUUUCCACCACUGCAUUAAGACAGCCAUUACACUUCAUAGAAAUACCAAAUACAUGAUAUUCUGAUAGCUGUCAAAAUCCUUAAAUCCAGUUUUCUAGCUUGAACUGGAAGAAUAACACCACAAUAGGAGUAUCUCAAUGAAUUCAUUAGUUUCAAGUUUCAACCAAUGAAAUUGACAGAAGAAAUGAAAUAAUAACAUGCCUUCAGAAGGAUGCUCAAACCCCGAGUCCACAAUUGCCCGAAGAAGUUCUGGCUUCAAAAGGAAGUCUCUGAAUCCUGAACUGUGAAUUCCAACAUAGCCCCUAACAAAAACAACAAUAAACAAUGAGAAAUAAGCUACCUUCACAUACAACAGGAGCUCCACAAUGCAUUUAUUGAAACAAACUUGACUGUGAAUACAAAUGGAAGCACAACAUCAGCACACAAUUGGGCAUGCUACUGCAAUGGCAUAUACAGAGAACUGACUUCUUUUUCAUUGCUGAGAAAAUAUAGGCAAAGAAAUCAAAAUCUUGAGUAUGAGAUUCUUCUACCGUUCAAGAGCCCAAGGAAACAAUGUUGCUUAGCUGAGACUACUACAAUUGUUCUUACCUGAGAUGAUAUUUCAUCUUUUUUGCAGAAAACAUUUUUCCUUCUUCUAUUUUUGGUAGAAGAAUUUUUAUUUCAGAAACCAAAACAUAUUAUUUCUAGCAUAAGCUACAAAAUUUUGUAUCCUUUUACUCAGUUAGCUGUAGCGAAAGGAAACAUAUCAAGAAAUGCCUUUUUGAGCCAUAUCAUACAAUUCUUAAUCUCGUAGAAAAGGGAAAAAGUGAAACAUUCCGAUAACAGUCAGAUCCGUUAAGUAGACAGUCUAGGCAUAAUAGACCAAUAUAAGACUUGCUUUCCAGCAAUCAAAUUGAUGGCUAAUUUAAUGAUUUUCCCCGAAAUUCCCCACAUCCGAACGGCCCAAAAUCUGAAUUUAAAUGAAACUCAAAAUCCUCCGUUUGGUUGCCGACAAAAUGUUGGUAGAUACCAGAAACUAAGAUACUGGCAACAUUUUUCACCAUUGCGACCCAAGAAAAUGUAGAUCGCCCUCAACUAAGCCUAAAGCAACUAUAUGGCUCACUGUUAAAUUUUUUUCCCCGUUUUAUUGCAUAUAUAUAUGCAAAAACCAUAUCGUUUCAAAAGAAAAUAUCCACUCUUCCAAAAUUUCAACGCAACCAAACAGAAAAAAAAUUAGGAAAAAAAAAACAUAUGGAAAUCAAAUAGUAGGAGUCUCACUUCUUGGCGGCUUCGCCGUUGACUUUUCCGGUGACGGAGUCGGGGGCUUUGUCUUCUUCUUCCUCGUAGUCGAGAAGCUCUUCCUCGUAAGCAUCGUUGUCCCUUGUUUCUCCCAUAAUCUCUGUAUGCAAAAAUCAAAUAAAAUCUCCAUCAAAUUAAGGCUUAAAGAUAAGAAAUCUGAGGAGAGAAAGAGCUUUUAGGGUUUAGGAUUUACGUAGAGUCGCCGACAAAGUUGGCUAGGGUUAGGGUUUGGAUAGUCUGCAAGAAAAUGUUAGAGAGGAUGAGAAAGUGAGUGCUCGCAAGGGAGAUGGAUAGGGUUUUAUGAUUGGAGUAGGAUUUGAUGACUGAAAUUCCGUAGAUACCCUUACUGUUCAUCAUAAUUACAACAUCACAUUUGGGUAGUGUUUGUUUGCAAGUUGACGCUGUUCCACUGUCACGCGGAUAUCGCUUUAGGAUCGUAGUCCUAGGAAAGAUGUUUUGUCAAACUUACUAAACAAUCAACAUUUGAAAUUUUUUAUUGUUCACCACGGAAAAAAAUAUAUAUAUAUUUGGUCCUAAACAUAAUUAAAAAAGAAACAUGAAAAAAAAAACUUAUUAAUUUUUAUAAAUUGAAAUAAAUGAAACAAAAUCAUUUAACCCUAAUUUGUUUUGCCCUAGCCAAUAGGGAUAUCAUUAUUGAUUUUUAUAUUCCUUAGUGGAUAAUGUAAAAUAAAAUCCAAUAUUUACUAGUAUGAUUAGAUGUUGUUGGUAUUAUUUGAUUCUUAUUUAUUUUAAACACAUUAUAUUUAAGGCGAGUCAUCAAUGUUUUUCAUACUCGAUGAGUGAUUAAAUAGAAAAACUUAUUGAUUCAUGGUUCAACGGUCGGAUCGAUGGUUAAAACGUAGUUGAAUCUAUGUCAUAAAUUUAUAUUAUAUUAAAAUAAAAUAUAAAAUUAAAAAGUAUAUAUGAUUAAAAUUUUAUAAUGUUUUUAAUAUUAUUUAUUUAUUUUAUAUAAAUAUAUUAAUAUUUUAAAUUUUAUUAAACAAAACAUGUAUGAUGUUUAAAUAUGAGAAUAUAUUAAAAACAAAAGAAAAAUCAUAAUAUAUAUAUAUAUACCCCUAUAGCCAGGGUAUGAAGCCACUUCAUUCGGUCAAUGUGAUUCUACUUGAAAGUUUUUCCACGCCCUACAACAAUUUCUCACAUUUGUAAGGAUCAUCCGAAUAAUAUCUAAAACCUGUUAGAACCGUCCCGCACCGCGUAUCCUAUACGGAUUCGCAGUUAAUCAUUUUGUGUGCAAUCUAAUUUAUCUCUUUGCAUUUAGCUCUAGAAAAGAUUGUUAUAAAGUGAUCACUGAACUUUCAUACAACUGGGGUAGUUUCAAAGGCUUAAAAGAGUGUAAGUAAGGGAUUUCUCUUCAAAGUACUGUAACCUAGUUCAAUUCACCUCAUUGAUUCCUUAUACAAACCUUAAAUCUCGACUCGUCCUUUCUUUCUGAGCCCAACCACAUUUCCAUUUGAUUAUGCUCUUGUUGAGGAGGCAGGCCAUAGACCUACUAAGUAGAUAUAUAUAUAUAUAUAUAUAUAUAUAUAUAUAUAUAUAUAUAUAUAUAUUAUGAUUUUUCUUUUAUUUUUAAUAUAUUUUCAUAUUUAAACAUUUGAUUUCUUUCUUUAAAUUAACUAUUACAUUGAUCCCACAUCAAGACAGAGGAGAUAUAAAGUUUUAUGAACUUCUUUCAUCCAUCAAAGGUGAAUGACUUAUGGGCCAUGAGGCAGUGUAAAUGAAACAUAACUUAUUUUGCAAAAUGGAGGCAAUUAGAGCUAGGCUAGGAGGGAAAAUGUGGCCCACCAAAAGACAAGGGAAGUUUAACUGUUAAUUAUUUAGCCCACUCGAUUUACUAGUUCAAUCGCUGGUUUAAAUGAUUUGAGGUGGAUUCAAUUGAUAAAUAGUUCGAGAGAGGGAAUUGAUUCGAAAAGGUAUUCAGUUGAUGGUUAAACUAGUUUGAUUAUCCAAUGGUUGGACCUGUUUGACUAAUGAUUCAAUCAUUUUUCAAAACAGUCAUUCAUUUAUAAAAUCUCAUUUAAUCAAACACCAUUUAUUAUUUAAUACUCAUAACAAAAAUAUUUUUUAAAUAUUUGAUUUGAUUUGAUAUAAAUUUGUUAUUUAUAUAAAUAUGAAAAAUGUUAAUUGAAAAGUUUUGGAUAUUUCAACAUAUUUAAACUUUUAACAUUUUUAUGAUUAUUAAAUUAUAAAUUCUUAUUUGUAAUUAUAUUUGAAAAUUUCCUCCAUUAAACCGUAUCAAUCUUCCUUAUCGGCUUUAAACCUUUUGUUAACCAUUUUUCAGUCUAAACAUGUGAGAAGUGAAAGAAAAUUUGUCGGACAAUUUUGGUUUAAACUUUUUAUUUAAUAAAUUAUUUAAAUGUUCAAACUUAAUUAUUUUUUAAUAAAUAAAUAAUAAUUCAAAAAUUAAACUCAGCAGGUGGAGGAGAUAUUUGAAGUAAAGCAACAUCAGGAAACCAAUAAAUCCAAGCCACUAAAAUGAGUGAACUCUCUAUCUAUUUGCUUGUUGAUGGUGGGGAAGUACUCCUCCUCUCUCCUACUCCAAUGGCUUCUGCCGCAUGCUUGGUAUCUUUAAACCCAUUUAGUGCCCUACUCAAACCAGGCAUCUCUCUCUGUCUUUCUUCUCUAAGCUGUUCAACAAAUUCCAUUUUUCCCAUCUCUUUGCAUUUACUUUUGUGCCAAUUUUGCAUGAGCAGGGGUUCGUCCUGGCUUUCAAAAAUUUCCUGCAACUAAAUUCAGCCCUCCCAAGGUCAGUUUUUCCGUUUCAUUUCUGAUAUGGGUUUCACUCUUUUCUUUUUAUAAUCCAGAAACAGGCAAGAUCCAUGCGCGUUGUAUUCUAAAUUACGUUUUCUUUUUUUUUUAAAUUAUCAUGAUAGGCUGCACAAAGUAAUUCAAAAGGCACAAAACCAAACAGUGUUGUGUGUGCUGAUUGUGAUGGAAAUGGUAAGCCCCUUUCCAUUUGUUUUAUUUAUUUAUUUUGUAUUCAAAGAGAAUGCCUGUGGGCUUCACAAUAGUGAGUAGAUUUGAACACUGGCACCGUUAUAUUGUGUAUAGUUCCCUAAAAGGAAGAAUUGAUUCCCCCGGAUGAGAUUUUCUAGGAAAUUUUCUUGGAAUGUGGUGUGCUGUGAAAAUGAAUUGAGUAGACACUUCCAUGCUUCACUGACCUUUUCAUUUAGGGAAUUGCAUAGAACUUGCUACUUCAAAGAAUGAAACGGUGGUUCUUCUUCCUCUUCCUAUCUCAUCCUUGAUUAAAAAUUUUCCUGAGCUAUUUGUGGUUUUCACUUCCUUGAUAUUUCCCCCUUGUAUGCAUUCUGUAAAAUUAUGUUGCCCUUUGCACAGAUCAACAACUGAUCAUUAUCUUGGAUCGUGCCUUGGGUGACCUAUCCCCAAACUUAAGAGUGACAUUGUUGCACCCCCCAACAUGGUGCUCUAGUGACUCAAGACCAUGAGUCUUGGCUUUGAUACAAAUUCUUGGAUUGGGCUUUGACUAUCUCAUCUGAAAAUCAAUUUGUGUCCGGUAAGGGUAGGCUUCCUUUUAUGGCAUUUGGAUGACCAAUCCUUAGUCUCAAGAGCAGCAUUAUUGCACCCCAGCACAGUAUUCUCACUUGCUAUCCCUUUGGGUGCAAUGCUAAGACUAGGAUACAUUCUGGUAAGCAUGUUUAACCAAUAUUCAUGCCCAUGUGUCAUGAAUCCCUUCUGUGAAAGAUCCAUUCGAAGUGACAACCAAUAUUCAAAGAAUUUUCAUUCGUCGUAUAUAAAACCUUGUUAUUUUUUUCCAAUUAUCAGGUGCAGUUCUAUGUUCACAAUGCAAAGGCAGUGGAGUGAACUCUGUUGAUUUCUUCAAUGGCCAAUUUAAAGCUGGAGAAUCAUGUUGGCUUUGUGGGUAUGUCAUAUUGUUUAAUACAAUGCUAAUAAACAAUAAUGUCACAUUAUCCAAGAACUGAAUUAUUUAGAUUUGGAAUGUAUUGACUUCUGAGGGUAAACACAACUGUCCAUGCAGUGCGGAAGUUUUUGUCCUCAUUUCCUCAAUACCCACUUAUCUCUACUUCAUUUUUGAUAAACCAUCCCUCGGGAUGAUUCUAGAUGUAUAAUUGCUUAAGAUUGUUUUUGCAGAGGCAAAAAGGAUAUUUUAUGCGGAAAUUGCAAUGGUGCUGGUUUCGUGGGCGGUUUUAUGAGCACUUUUGAUGAAUAGAACUUGAGCAAGAAGCACCAAAUUUAAGAGUCUAUUGUGAAUAAAUUGCAUUCAAAUGAUAGAUAUGUAUUCUGUAUAUAGAUAUAUGGUCGUGUCUGGAGGUGUAUACAUGGACAUCUUUACAAUUAUGCAAUACGAUUUUACUAUCAGAUCCGGCGGUAAUGAAUAUUCUUUAGCUAAUUAAUUUGAAGUGCCAUUAAGCAGAAGAAGAUUAAUGAUGCUGUACAUCUGAUAUGAGCAGGAUAUGACAAUUUUGGGAAGUACAAUGUCAUCUGCUGAAAAUUUGGAGAUGAUUCUGGCCAAAGCACCCGAGAUGCAGGGGGAAGUCACCUUACAACUUGAUUUUAGGUUCACUAUAAUUUCAUUAUUAGAAAUGUACCUUGCCUGCUAUAUUUUAGAUAGAAGUACAACUUUACGUUUGCGAAUCUGUGCUGACACUGUACAUGUUUUAUUGAUAACAAAAGGCUUAUGAUGACCAUCUAAAAGUUAUGAAUGAACUCACUCAUUUGCUUCUGAAGCAAACGAGUAGCCUUGGAUUCGGGAUGCAGCACAUGAUACACAUGAACCUCUCCUUCAGCUUCCACCAGUUUCACCUCCACUCCCUUCUUCUCCAGAAAGGCUGCAUACAUAACUCCCCUUUCUUUUAAGAAAUCUGAACCAGCCACAUAAACCACAACUGGUGGAUACCUAGACCAUUCAGCCCUGGACAAUUCGGCCUUCUCAAAGUUACACCAAGGAUGGUCACGGUUUGACCCUUCUGGUAAGCUUAGUUUCCACAGCAAGUCAGUCUUUGCCACAUUCUCAGCUUCUCCGCUGGCCCUCUCCUUCUCAGUCCUCUCCUGGCUCCCAAAAAAAGGAUGUAUUGGCAACAACCCUUUAAUCUUGACUUGAUCACAAGAUUGUUCCUGAAUUGUUCUGAGAGCAACAUUGUGAACAAUGUUUCCUCCAGAACUGUCCCCUGAGAGAAACACGCGAGAGAGGUCAGCUCUCUCAAGCCAUGGAUCAGAGCUCGCUUGGCAACUUAGCCACUCAAGUGAACUAUAACAAUCAUCAUAAGCUAUAGGGAGCCUGUUUUCAGGUGCAAGGCGGUAGUCCACAGAAAGAACUAUCGAUUGGGAUGCCACCGCAAAGUCUCCAAGGAAAGUAUGGUGCCCAAGCCAUGUGGUUGAGACUGCACAGAAACCACCACCAUGGAAGUAAACUAGAACUGGAAGGUGGCUGGAGGAGUCCAGAGUAUCAGGCAGAAAUAUCCGUGCAGAUAUUGGCUUGGUUGAGCUAAUGAUUACAUCCUUGGACUUAUAUCCAUUGGAUGAUGAAUCAAUGGAGGCAGGGGCGGUUUCACGUUCAUAACGUUUUACCGAACCAUCAGAAAAAACUUGGAAGUAACCUGGAAAAUCUGCAAUUAAGGACAUUGGUUCUCAAAACUUCGGAAUGGUGAUUUGAAAGUUGAAGAUGUCUGUGAGGUUGCAAAAAGAUUGUUAGGGGAUUUAUAUAGGAUUUUUUGGGAUGAUAUACGUAAGUGAGGAUGUCAUAAAGUGAAUUUGUGGCAUGUUUAGGAGGGAAAAUUUCAGUCAAGACAAAUAAAAUGACAGUUGAUUACGGAAGCGGGAAAAGCAUGUUUAGAAGGGAAAAUUUGACUCAAGCCAAAUAAAAUGACAUAGUUGAUUAUGAAAGCAAGGAAAGACUAGGGGUGAACGCCAAGAAAAUGAGUUAUGGGCUACUGUGGCAAUUCAAUAUGAACACUAGGAAAAUGAAAAGUCAGUCAAUGCAUGCCAAGAAAAAUAUGUUGGUGGCUGGUGCAUAGAAUCCUAAGAAUUCUUCUUCUCCUCAUCCAAUCCAUGAUAAACAGGACUUUCCGGAGCUGUUUGCAGUUUUCAAUAACUAGCCUCCUGUAUGCCACUCUGUCAAAUUGUAUAUAUUGUCCUCUGUACAAAUCAACAAUUCAUUAUUCUCACUUCCCAUCCCUUGGUAGCAUACUAAAAGCCUAAGUUCAGGCACCUCUUCAGGGUGAUAAGGUAAUAUUCUUCAGUUUAUUUAUUCAAGUGUUGCUGUGAAACCUCUAACAUCUUCAGGGGAACUAUGUCCAACAUCACCGUACAACUUGGUUUUAGCUCAAGUGUAAUUCCAGAGAAUUAGCUCCCUAAUUUACGAGAUUCCAUUGAAAAUACCAGGGAUAUAAUUGCCUGAUUUCUUUAAUCAGAUUUGUCUAAUUCAAAGCAUUUUAAUAAACCAUUGUGAAACCCAACACUUCUGCAACUAUAGACAUUGUUCUCAAAACUUUGGUGGGAUGAUUUGAAAGUUGAAGACUUCCGUGAAAUUUCAAAGAGUUUGUGGGAAAGUUCCAUAGGAUCUUUAGGGAUGUCAAGGAAUUAUAACCUUUAUAUGUGUAAAUGAUGACAUUUGGUUGAUCAUGUGAAGUGAACUGAAGGCAUGUUUAGGAGGGAAAUAUUCAAUGAGGGCCUACAAAAUGAAGCAAGGGAAAAUUUCCAUGAAUGCCAAAAAUUUAAUGAAUCUCAAGAAAACAAGUUGGAUUGAUUGAGGAAAUAAGGGAAAAACUAAAUGAACGAAUGCUAAGAAAAAUAAAAGUUCGAUUAAUGUAUGCCUAAAAAAACUAAGUUGGAAAGGCUGAUUGAGAAAAGCCAAUUGGUGACUGAUAGAUAGGAAAAUGGAGAAACAUUAAUUCUUCUUCUCCUCCAGAUUUGCAGUUCUCACUUGCUUGAUAUGGCCUUCUUUUUAUGCUGUGCAGUCAAACUGUUUUCCCCUGUAGGAAUUGACGACCACUUUCCAAUAACCCAUCGGUUAGCAUACUAAAGCCUAAGGAAUGUUUCUGUAAGAAUACGCCUAAACACAUUCUUACCUUGAAGUCUUACACCUCUUCUGUGAAAGUUUCAUCCAAACUGACGAUCUUUCAUGAAAGAAUGGUAUUCAUUCAACCAAAAGAUGAAAGAAUGACCAUUUUAAGUGAAGAAACCUUUCUUAUUGCUGUGCAGGUCAGCACUCACAAUGCAGGGGAAGUUGAGCGAACUCUAUUAAUGUUUUCAUCAGACAAUGCAAAGCUGAAGAAUCACAUCGUCUCUGUGGCUAUGCCGUAUUCUUUACUAUUAAUGCUAAUAUUACAGCAUUAUCUAAUUACUAAUAUAUUUAGAUUUGGAGGAUGUUGACUCGUUAGGACAAAAUAAGCUGUCAAGGCAGUGCAGAAGUGUAAUGGUCCUCAUGUUCUCUUCCAUGGGCAAUUCAAAGCUGGAGAAAUCAGCUCUGUGGUAUGUCAUAUGAUAUAUUUCAUCUGGAAACUGCAGUGCUGCUGGUUUCAUUGGCGGUUUCACGAGCACUUUUGAUGAAUAGAACUUGAGUAUGAAUAUGAAUAAAUUGCGUCAAAAUAAUAGAUAUGUAUUCUAUAUAUGGAAAUGUGGUCAUGUAUGGAGGUGUAUAUAUGAACAUCUUCAAACAAUUGAAGAGGCUCAGUCCAUUGAUGUUGAAUGUUCCACCCUUUUCCAUGCCAAACCUGUGGAUGCACAACCGUUUAUUUAAACUAAUUUCUACAACGAAAUCAUUAGCAGGGUAAUGUUUUUAUAUGAAACUGUAUCUCUAGUUAUUUUUCUUUGUUCAAUAAGCUGCUAUAAUCAUUAAUUUGUGCCACAAUUUCUGAAUUUGGUCUAUGGUAUUCAAUGCUCUUUACAAUUAUGCAAUACAAUUUUACUAUCGUAUCCAGUUGUAAUGAAUACCCUUUAGCUAAUUAAUUUGAAGUGCUGCUAAGCAGUAGAAGAUUAAUGAUUCUGAAAUCCAAUAUGAGCAGGGGAUGAUAAUUUUGGGAAGUAGCAUCAAUUUCAUCUGCUGAAAGCUUGGAGAUGAUUCCUCCAGCACUGUCCCCUGAGAAAAACACACGAGAGAGGUCAGCCCUCUCAAGCCAUGGUUCAGAGCUCGCCUGGCAAUUUAGCCACUCAAGUGAACUAUAACAAUCAUCAUAAGCUAUAGGAAGCCUGUUUUCAGGUGCAAGGCGGUAGUCCACAGAAAGAACUAUUGAUUGGGAUGCCACUGGAAAGUCUCCAAGGAAAGUAUGGUACCCAAGCCAUUUGGUUGAGCCUACAAUGAAACAACCACCAUGGAAGUAAACUAGAACUGGAAGGCGGCAAGUGGAGCCCAGAGUAUCAGACAGAAAUAUCCGUGCAGAUAUAGGCUUGGUAGAGUCAAUGAUCACAUCCUCGGAGUACUUAUAUCCAUUGGAUGAUAAAUCAUUGGAGGUUUCCCAUUCAACACGUUUUACUAAACCAUUGGAAAAGAUUUGAAGGAAACUCAACUAUGGACAUUGUUCUCAAAACUUUGGUGGGAUGAUUCGAAAGUUGAAUAUUUCUGUGAAAUUUCAAAGAGUUUGUGGGAAAGUUGUGUGGGACCUUUAGGGAUGUCAAGGAAUGCUAACCUUUAUAUGUGUAAAUGACGACAUUUGGUCGAUCAUAUAAAGUGAACUCAUGGCGUGUUUAGGAUGGAAAAUUUCCAUGAAUGUAAAAAAAAAAGAGUAAGGUUGAUUGAAAAAAUAAGGGAAAAAUUAAAUGAACGAAUGCUAAGAAAAAUGAAAGUUCGAUUAAUAUUGCAUGCCUAAAAAAACAAAAUUGGAAAGGCUGAUUGAGAAAAGUUUGCUGGUGACUAGUAAAUAGGAAUGGGGAGAAACAGUGAUUUUUCUCCUCCUUUGUAUUUGAAGUUCUCACUUGCUUGAUAUGACCCUCUUCUUAUGUCAUGCCGUCAAAUUGUAUUCCCGGCCCCUUCGUACAAAUUGAUGGCCAUUUUCCAAUAAUCAUUGGUUAGCAUACUAAAUCCUAAGGAAUGUUUUUGUGAUAAGCUUAAACACAUUCUUACCUUGAAGUCACACACCCCUUCUGUGAAAGCUUCAUCCAAACCGACAAUGAAAACAAUGGUAUUUAGUCAACCAAUAUGUGAAAGAACGACCAUUUUAAAGCGAAUGAGCCUUUCUUGUUGCUGAGUACUUCAGUGCUCUCAAUGCAGAGGAAGUUGAGUGAACUCGACUGAUGUCUUCAACAGUCGAUGCAGAGUUGGAGAAUCAUGUUGUCUCUGUGAGUAUGCCUUAUUAUUUACUAUUAAUGAUAAUAUUACAACAUUAUCUAAUUACUAAUAUAUUUGGAUUUGGAGGACAUUGACAUGUUAGGAUAAAAUAAGCUGUCGAGGCAGAGCAGAAGUCUGAUUGUCCUCAAGUUCUCUUCCAUGGGCAAUUCAAAGCUGGAGAAAUCAGCUGUGUGGUAUGUCAUAUUAUUUAUUUCAUGUGGAAACUGCAGGCAGCUGGUUUCAUGGCCGGUUUUAUGAACACUUUUGAUGAAUAGAACUUGAGAAUGGAUAUGAAUAAAGUGCAUUGAAAGGAUAGCUAUGUAUUAUGUAUAUGAAAUAUGAUCAUUCAUGGAGGUAUACAUAUGGACAUCUCCAAAGAAUUGAAUCGGCUCAGUUCCAUUUAGUAGAUGUUGAAUUUUCCACCAUUUUCCAUGCCAAAACCAUGCACACACAACCAUGAAUUUCAUCUGAUGAAUAAUUGGAGAUGACUCUGAGAGCACCUGAAAAACAACUUGGUUUUAGGUUCACGAUAAUUUCAUUACUAGAAAUGCAUUUUGCCUGCUAUACUUUAAAUAAAGUCAUAGAAGUACAACUGUAAGGGGCUUAUGAUGACCAUCUAAAAGCUAUGAAUGAACUCACUCAUUUGCUUUUGAAGCAAACGAGUCGCCUCAGAUUCAGGAUGGAGCAUAUGAUACGCAUGAAUUUCUCCUUCAGAUUCCACCAGCUUCACCUCCACCCCCUUCUUCUCCAGAAAGGCCGCAUACGUGACUUGCCUUUCUUUUGAGAAAUCCAAACCAGCCACAUAAACCACAGCUGGUGGAAACCGAGACCAUUCAGCCCUGGACAAUUCUGCCAUCGCAAAGUUACACCCAGAAUAGUCGCAGUUUGACCCUUCUGGCAAGCUUAGUUUCCAAAACAAGUCAAGCCAUGUCAAAACCUCAGCUUCUCCUCCGCUGGCCCUCUCCUUCUCGGUCCUCUCCUCGCUCCCAAAAAAGGGAUGUAUUAUCAACAACCCUUUAAUCUUUACUUGAUCACAAGAUUGUUCCUGAAUUGUUCUGAGAGCAACAUUGUGAACGAUGUUUCCUCCAGCACUGUCCCCUGAGAGAAACACUCGAGAGAGGUCAGCUCUCUCAAGCCAUGGUUCAGAGCUCACUUGGCGACUUAGCCACUCAAGUGAACUAUAACAAUCAUCAUAAGCUAUAGGGAGCCUGUUUUCGGGUGCAAGGCGGUAGUCCACCGAAAGAACUAUUGAUUGGGAUGCCACCGCAAGGUCUCCAAGGAAAGUAUGGUACCCAAGCCAUGUGGUUGAGCCUACGCAGAAACCUCCACCAUGGAAGUAAACUAUAACUGGAAGGAGGCUAGAGGAGCCCAGAAUAUCAGGCAGAAAGAUCCUUGCAGAUGUAGGCUUUGUUGAGUUAAUGAUCACAUCCUUGGACUUAUAUCCAUUGGAUGAUGAACCAUUGGAGGCAGGGGAAGUUUGCUGUUGAAGUCGUUUAACGGAGCCAUCAGAAAGGAGUUGGAGGUAACCUGGAAUUUCUGCAACUACGGACAUUGUUCUCAAAAGUCAAAACUUUGGUAAGGUGAGUUUGAGGAUGUUGGAUUGAUCACAUAACGUGAGUUUGAGGCAUAUUUAAGAGGGAAAACUUCAGUCAAGACAUAGAAAAUGACGAAGUUGGUCAUGAGCAAGGAUUGAAAAAUCGGGGAAAUAUCGGAUAUCGGGCGGCACCGAAGCGAAAUAUCCGUGAAGCACCGAUAAAUUCGCGAGUGGAUCUGACGCGCGGAGCAACCGGGGGAGAAUUUCAAAAAAUCGCCGAAAAUAUCGCCGAAAUUUCGGUAUUUUUACCGAUUUUUCGGAAAAUUUCCCGAUAUUUCCUACCAGUCCAGCCCGCGCACAGGAUACAAAAUCUGGCUCAAAAAUCGUGGAUUUAGGGUUCAUGAAAUUUAAAUCCAAUGGCACAACAGCAAAGAGACCCUUAAAACAGAUCCAGAAAACACAGGAAGCAAAAGAAAAGCAAAUUUUUUGGUUUUCUUUGGGGGUUUUGAAUGGAUUUUCUCGGAAAUCAAACGAGGAUGAAUUUCCCCGGAAAUCGAAUGGGGGAUGGAUUUUCUUGGGAAUCAAACGGGAGUUGCAAAAAAAAUAAUAUCAACGUGAUUAGAUUAGUACCUGCGAGGAUUGAGAGUGGCAGAGGAAAAUAGGUCUUUUUUAGGAAUUCUCUCGGCCGGAGGGCAACUUCAGAAAAGGGGAAUUCUCUCGGCUGGAGGGCAACUUCAGAAGUGGGUGGCCCUUUUAAUUUUUAGAUUUAGUAAGGUAAAAAAAAAAUAAAAUAAAAAAAAUUCAUGAGAACAAUUUUCAUCUAUCCAUAUAAAUAAUUAUAAAUUAUUGAAUUUUAUUUUGAUUAUUAAAUAAAUUAAUAUUAAUAAAAAAAGUUGUUAAUAUAAAAUUUUAAAAAUUAAAUCUCAAAUAAAAUAUUUUAUAUAAAUUAAUUUAAUUUUCAUUUAAAAUAUAAUAAAACAUGUUUUAAUAAAUGUAUGUAAAAUUUUUUUAAAUAAAUAUUAUUUUUAACAAGUUGGGUCCUCUUCAUCUAACAAUAUAAUGAAACCACAUCGAUUUCUUCCUUAGUAUAAGGACUAUUACAAUCUCAUAUGUAUUAUAUUUAUGUAUAAAUUGUUUUUAUUCAAUAAAUCAAAUAUUUUUUAACUGAAUUCUAACUUUAUACACUUUCAAAAUUCAUAUAUAUUAUUUUUAAAAUUUAAUUAUCGAAUCUACCAAUAUAUCUUUGUUUACGAUAUUUUUCUUCUUAAUUAUAUAUAUGUCAAUUAUAUUUACAAGAUAAUUUUAAAAUAUAUAUUUUUACUUAUUUUAUUAUUUUUUUGAAGUUUUUUCAAGCAUUUUUAUUAAUUUUAAAUAAUUUUCACUUAUCGAUAUUUGUGAAAAAAUAUCCAUCGAUAUUUUUAUGAUAUUUUCGAUAUAUUCUUAAAAUCGAAGUACCGAUAUAUCCGUAAAAAUCGAUAUUUUAAUCCUUGGCCACGAGAGCAUGCCAAGACAAAAAAAAAUGACGAUUAGGAAAGCAAGACAAAAUUUCAGUCAAAGGCACAUAAAAUUAUAACAUAGUUAAUUAUGCAAACAAGGGAAAAGUUGGAGUGAAUGGUGAAUGCCAAGAAAAUGACCUCGGGGCUGUGGGGAAAUUUAAACGGAUCAUAUUUGCACGAUUUCCCAACUGUCAGAAAAACAAUUUUUUUUCUUUUAUCUUUCAUUUAAUCUCGGGAAAAGUGAGUUUCCAUGUGCUCAUUAAUAUUUUUUGUUCUAUUCACUUAGAGAAAUAUUUAUUGUUUAAUCAGACAUUACCUUUUAAUAAGUAUUUUUUUUUCUUUUAUAUAUAUAUAUAUAUAUAUUAUCUUAAAGUUUGCCUUUAAUAUAAUAUACCUUCAAAUAUUUUCAAAAAAUUGAUUUGGAUUAAUAGUAAGAAACACUUUGAUUAUAGAUAUGAAAGAAUAAAUUGAAUAUUAUGAUGUUAAUUAAAUUUUAAAUCACGAUGGGGAGUUACAAAUUUCAAACCACGUUAUGAAAAAUCAUGAGAAGAAAAAAAAGUCUUAGAGAGAAAAACAAAAAGAUAAACCUUUGACUGUAGAUUAUAAUAAAAUUUAAGAUGACUCUUUCAAGAAAUUUAUUCUUUUGGUUUUUUUUUGGAUUUUUGAAGAUAUAUGUUAAUAAUAAGAUCUUUUUCUAGAUUAGAUGUUAAAAAAAGAGGAAGAAAUUCUUGUUGUCCAUUUAAUAAGUAAAGGGUUACAGAGUAAGAAAAUAAAAAAAAAAUUAAUUGUUGUAUGUACCUAUUAAUUUAUCCCUCGACAAAAACGGGGUCUCCAUGUGAGAGUUUUAUUAUUAUUUGGAAAAAAUUUAUAUACAAUACAAUUCUAAAAUAAAGAUAAGUAUUUAGUUUAAAGGAAAAUUCUAUAGAUUUAAGAAAUAAGAUUUUGAAGAAAAAUAUAAAGAUAAAUAAAUAAUAAAAUUCAUUUUAGUUGUUAAUAUAGUGCAAAAUGGAGAAAAUAGGAAAAAUAAAAUAUGCAAGUAGAGAAAAAAAUUAUUAAUAAGGAUAAUUGAAAAAAUAUAUAUUGAUUUAGCACUCACUAUAAUGUAUGAAGAAAGAAAAUAAUAAAUUCUUAAAUUUAAAUUUAAUUAUUAUAGGGAUAAAUUAGUAGCAUGUGAUAUAAAAUUUAUAUUAUGUUAAAAUAUGUUUCUAUUAAUAAGAUUUUUUUUUGUUUAAGUGAAUCUUAAGUUUAAUCAACUUAUUUAAUGAAUUUAUUUUUUACUAGAGGAAAAUAUUUUAUCAUAAAAAGAAUAUUUAUAUUGUAAAAAAUAUCACGUCUAUUAUAUAUUCUAAUAUUUGUCCUAGUUAACCGUCAGUAUGUUGUUCACCCUUAUUGUCUAAAAAACCUAGUCAACGGGUAGUGACCCACCCUCGUUGCCUAAUUUUAUGAUGAUUUGAAAACCUAUUCGUGGGGUAAUCAUCGAUCAGAUGGUACCAUCUGAUUGGCUAGUCCCUUCUAAAUAGAAGGGUCAUCUGUUUUUGUGCUGCUAGUUUAGGAAAAUAAAUUUGUUUAUACUUUGCAUGCAUGGUUGAAGCUAAUAUUAUAUGCUAUGUUACUUUUUUUUUUAUAUAUAAAAGAAAUUGUUAGUAUUUUCCUUAUUGAGUUAAAGCUUAUCAUCUUUAUUUUUAAAAACCUCUUUUAGGUAUGAGUAAGGGAUAAGAAGAGUUUCUUGUUAAUUUAAUUUAUGUUUAGCUUUAAAGCUUUUGUUUAGAUAUAUUGAUUUGGAUCAUGUGCUAUGUUUUAAUUAUCAAGUUAAUUUGAAUAGAAUUAGUAUUUCAUAAUUAUGCGAAUAAUGAAAUAUCUAUCUUGUAAAGAUACUUUUAACUCUAUGAACUCAUUCUUAAUGAGAAUCUACAACAUUUUUUCUGUUUUAUUAUUUAGCCGUUUUUAGAUUGGGGGGGGGGGGGGGGGGGGGGGGGGGGUUUUUUUUCUUUUUUCCCCCUUUUCCCCUUUCCCCCCCCUUUUUUUUUUUUUUUUCCAUGGGCCCCCCCCGGGUGGGGGGGGUGGGGGAGGGGAAAAGGGGAAUAAGAGGGGGGGCCGUUUUGGGGGGGCCCAAAAAGUUUGGGGGGGGGGCCAAGGGGAAAAAAAGGGGCAGGCCCUCCAGGGGGGGAAAAGGGGGAAUUUUUUUUUUUUUAAGGGGGGGGGAAAAGGGGGGGGGGUUCCCCUUUUNNNNNNNNNNNNNNNNNNNNNNNNNNNNNNNNNNNNNNNNNNNNNNNNNNNNNNNNNNNNNNNNNNNNNNNNNNNNNNNNNNNNNNNNNNNNNNNNNGGGGGGGGGGGGGAGGGCUGUUUUUUUUCCUUUUCUCCCGUUUUCCUCUUUCCUCCUCAUUUUUUUUUCUUUCUUCUAUUGGCCACCCCGAGGUUGAGCGGCUUGGGGACGGCUAGAUGGGACUGAUGAGGUGGGCCGUUCUUGGGCAGCCCAAAGAGCUUGAGGUGAUGGCCUAGGGAGACAGAAGGGGCAAGCGCUGCAAGUGGGUGACAGGGGGAUAUUUUCGUUUUCUAGAGGGGGGGGAAACAGGGGAGGAGUUCGCCAUUCUGAACCAGGUAGAGGAAGUUGGUCUGGAGCUAAGGAAACUCCUGUUUGAGAGAAGCAUUGCCCGGUAGGAUUAUUUGGAUUCAUCGUUCAUUAUAUCAUCAUAUUUUUCUCAUUUAUUUUCCAUGUGAUUAUUUCUGCGUUGUUUGUGAGUUUGCCUUGACUUGGUAUUGUAGUUUCAUCCCAUUUUUCUCUAUUUUUGUUCAUGGAUGAUCUAACUGUGCUUCAAUUGUUUGUUUCAUAUUGGGAAAUCUUCUUAUCUCUUAUUUUAUAUAUAUAUAUACAUACAUGCAUUUCUCCUGGUUUAGUCCACCCGUUUUUGAGCCCAUGAAAAAAAAAACAAAAACUUCGUGAGGUGAAGGCUGGGCUUUGAUGAAAGGAAAAAGAAGCAGCAGCUCAACUUAGCUUAGCUUAGCUCUGCUCAGUCCCCUCUGUUGCUAUUCCCAGUUUCUCUCGUCCAUUUCUCUCCGUUGUCCUUGUUCUUUUGUAGUUUGAGAUCUGAAAAUUGAGAAGGACGAGGCGAUUUGAUGACGAUGGUUCGAUUUUCUUAGCUAUGUUUCCAAGGGUACAUCAACUUUUUAGAGUGUGUUGGAUCUGGGGAUUGGAGGAAAAUGUUUUGGCUGAGCUGAACGGAAUUCUUCACACAUCUCUCUCUUUUGGUUGGUGUGAUUGAAUAUUUAUGCAUAGAAUUUUUUUUUGAUGUUGACACAUGGUUGAAUAUUAUAGAAUUUGUAAUGCGAGCGCCCGUUCGAUCUCUCGGAUACUGGUGCAGCUACAGUUGUUUCAGACUUGGAAAUCUACAUAAAAACGUUGAUAAUGGUGAGAUGCCUCUGUUUUUAAAAGCCUAUCGACUUUAAUAAACCACUUGAUGUUGCUUGACCGAUUUCGUUAUGCUACUGUAAAUGUAUUCUUGGAGUUCAUGAGGAGUUCUAUUUAUGAUAUGGUGGGAAUGAAAAUAUCCCACUAAAGAUAUCAACUCAGAGGCACAAUUAAAAUAAGGCUUCACCAGUUCUCAUAAUGCAAUUGGUCAUUUUCCAACUAAACCUAUCACUUUUGCACCAGGGCCACACGUUGCAUGGCCAUUUCAGCAUGCAAUCUAUCAUCAUCACUCAUCAUUUUAUUUAUUUAUUUUUUAAAUUUUCUCCUUUAAAUAAUUCUUCAAAAUUCCUAUUUCCAAAUUUAAUUUUCAAUCUAAAAAAUUUCACUAUUCACGUUUCAUUCGUUUAAACAUUAUUUUUGUUAUUAUUAUUAUUAUUCCAUAUUUAUUUAUUUAUUUCUUUUAAAAAUUCAAAUUAUUAAGUUUCAAUUCUUCAAAAGUUUAACUUCCGAAUUUAAUUUUCGAUCUAAAAAAUUUCAUUAUUCACGUUCAUUCUUUUAAACAUUAUUUUUGUUAUUAUUAUUAUUAUUUCAUAUUUGUUUAUUUAUUUAUUUUAAAAAUUCAAAUCAUUAAAGUUCAAUUCUUCAAAAAUCUGACUUUCAAAUUUAAUUUUCGAUCUCAAAAAUUCUACUAUUCACGUUUAUUCAUUUAAAUAUCAUUUUUUUAUUCCAUAUUUAUUUAUUUAUUUCUUUUAAAAAUUCCAAUCAUUAAAGUUCAAUUUUUCAAAAAUCUGACUUUCGAAUUUAAUUUUAAAUUUAAAAAAUUCCACUAUUCACAUUCAUUCGUUUAAAUAUUAUUUUUGUUAUUAUUAUUCCAUAUCUAUUUAUUUAUUUAUUUUAAAAAUUCAAAUCAUUUUAAAGUUUAAUUCUUAAAAAAUCUGACUUCCGAAUUUAAUUUUCGAAAUAAAAAAUUCCACUAUUCACGUUUAUUCGUUUAAAUAUUAUUAUUAUUUUUUAUUAUUAUUCCAUAUUUGUGUAUUUAUUUAUUUUAAAAAUUCAAAUCAUUAAAGUUCAAUUCUUCAAAAAUUUGACUUCCGAAUUUAAUUUUCGAUCUAAAAAAUUCCACUAUUCACGUUUAUUCGUUUAAAUAUUAUUAUUUUUAUUAUUAUUCCAUAUUUAUUUAUUUAUUUCUUUUAAAAAUUCCAAACAUUAAAGUUCAAUUCUUUAAAAAUCUGACUUUCGAAUUUAAUUUUAAAUCUCAAAAAUUCCAUUAUUCACGUUCAUUCGUUUAAAUAUUAUUUUUGUUAUUAUUAUUAUUAUUCCAUAUUUAUUUAUUUACUUAUUUCUUUUAAAAAUUCCAAUCAUUAAAGUUCAAUUAUUCAAAAAUUUGACUUUUGAAUUUAAUUUUCAAUCUAAAAAUUUUUACUAUUCACGUUCAUUCGUUUAAACAUUAUUUUUGUUAUUAUUAUUAUUAUUCCAAUUUUUUAUUUUUAUUUUAAAAAUUCAAAUCAUUAAAGUUCAAUUCUUCAAAAAUCUAACUUCUAAAUUUAAUUUUCAAUCUAAAAAAAUUCCGCUAUUCACGUUCAUUCAUUUAAACAUUAUUUUUGUUAUUAUUAUUAUUAUUCCAUAUUCAUUUAUUUAUUUCUUUUAAAAAUUCCAAUCAUUAAAGUUCAAUUCUUAAAAAAUCUGACUUCCGAAUUUAAUUUUCAAUCUCAAAAAGUCCACUAUUCACUUUCCGUUCGUUUAAAUAUUAUUUUGGUCAUUAUUAUUAUUAUUUCAUAUUUAUUUAUUUAUUUAUUUUAAAAAUUCCAAUUAUUAAAGUUCAACUCAUCAAAAAUCUGACUUUCAUAUCUAAUUUCCAAUCUCUAAAUUCAAUUUCAAAUUUCUAAAAUUCUAACUUUCGCAAUUAUUUAUUCAACCGUUAUUAUUUUCGUUAUUCUAUUCAUUUAUUUAUUCAUUUGUUCGUUUAUUUAAAAUCUCAUCUCUAAAUAAUCCUUCGAAUUUCCAAUCUCUAAAUUCAAUUUCCAAUUUCUAAAAUUCUAACUUUCGCAAUUAUUUAUCCAAUCGUUAUUAUUUUCGUUAUUCUAUUCAUUUAUUUAUUCAUUUGUUCGUUUAUUUAAAAUCCCAUCUCUAAAUAAUCCUUUGAAUUUCCAAUCUCUAAAUUCAAUUUCCAAUUUCUAAAAUUCUAACUUUCGCAAUUAUUUAUCCAAUCGUUAUUAUUUUCGUUAUUCUAUUAAUUUAUUUAUUCACUUAUUCAUAUAUUUAAAAUCCCAUCUCUAAAUAAUCCUUCGAAUUUCCAAUCUCUAAAUUCAAUUUCCCAUUUCUAAAAUUCUGAUUUUCGCAAUUAUUUAUCCAAUAGUUAUUAUUUUCUUUAUUCUAUUCAUUUAUUUAUUAAUUUGUUCGUUUAUUUAAAAUCCCAUCUCUAAAUAAUCCUUCGAAUUUCCAAUUUCUAAAUUCAAUUUCCAAUUUCUAAAAUUCUAACUUUCACAAUUAUUUAUCAAAUCGUUAUUAUUUUCGUUAUUCUAUUUAUUUAUUUGUUUGUUUAUUUAAAAUUCUAUCUUUAAAUAAUUCUUUAAAUUUCCAAUCCCUAAAUUUGAUUUCCAAUUUCCAAAAUUCUAACUUUCGCAAUUAUUUAUCCAAUCCUUAUUAUUUCGUCAUUAUUAUUAUUUCAUUCAUUUAUUUGUUCACUCAUUCAUUUAUUUAAAAUUCUGUCUUUAAAUAAUUCUUUAAAAUUUCGAUUUCCAAAUUUAGUUAUCUGAAAUUCCAAUUUUCCUAUCUUCGAACUCAAUUCUCGCAUUUAUUCAGUUACUCAUUUAUUAUUAUCAUUAUCAUUUUAUUCAUUCAUUUCUAAAAAUUCCGUCUUCGAAUGAUUUUCGAGAUUUCCAAUUUUUAUAAUUCAAUUUUCAUAGUUUCUACUUCUCAAAUAAUUUUCAAUUCUGAUUUCUUUCAAAAUUUAAUUUCCAAAGUCCUAAUUUUCGUAAUUUAAUUUUUUGAAAAAAAUCCCAAUCUCUCAAAUAACUUUCAAAAUUUCAAUUUCUUUCAAAUUUAACUUCUUAAAUUCUCAUUCUUACAUUUAAUUUCUAAAAAUCCAAUUUUUAAAUAAUAUCUAAAACUCCAAUUUUCAAAUAAAUUUCAAAAAUCCAGUUUUUCCUCGAACAAUUUUAAUUUCUAUUUGGUAACGCAUAUGAUAUGUUUUGUGCUCUUUAUUGUACACUGACCCCAUUUUUAUGAUAGCGCAUUGCUCGUUCGUGGCCUAGGUAUGCAUCCACUCCCAUUCUAGUCAUUCUCUAUGCAUGUUUUGAUUCUUAUAUGUGCAUGAUCGAUUUGAGUAUCCAUUGAUUUUCCUAUUGAUUGUUACGUCAACUUCAUUUUAUUAGCAGAGACCCGACUUUAGGGACUUGGAGGGGUGCUACGGUCUUUAUCGUACCUUCCCGAUAAGUAACCUUACCUUCGAGCCCGAUCCGGUUUUUCACAGACCACCUUUUUCAAAAUAAGGAGUCACACUUAGGGUUUUCUUUCUUAUUUUGUUUACCCUUUUAAAAAUAAAACAAAAAUAAGUAGCGACUCCAAGUCUUUUUCUAAAAAUCAAAUUUUCACUAAACAAAAUAAAAAUCGAGCUCGCCAUCGAGUGGGAACGCAUCGAGCAAAAUACAGGGUCCACAGCUAGAUAUGUGAAAUUAACAAAAUUGACCCUAGCCUACUUAGGACAUAGGGUGAUAGGUAUCAAUAUUUUUAUCGAUUUUUCAUUGAUAAUUCGAUAUGUAUCAAUAUUUUUAUCAAUUUUUUGAGAAUUUAGCUGGUUAAAAUUUCUUUCAAAAUAUACUAGUUGUGUAAUUAACAUGACAUCAUCCAUUCUGCUCCUCCCUAAUCCAUUCUGCUCAAUUACAUUAGUAGAAAAUGAGUUUCACUUAGAAAUUUUGAACAGAAUUACAACUUGGUAUUUGCUGCAAAGCCCAAAUCUAUGCUGAGAGGAUACAUGCCUCAUAGCUAACUAGAAGAGAAGCCGAUGACUCGUGGAUGGCCAUAUGAGAGGCUAAAAACUGUGUAUGAACUCACUCAUUUGCUUUUGCAGCAAGCGAGUGGCCUCAUAUUUUGGAUGGAACAUAUGAUACACAUGCUGCUCUCCUUAAGCUUCCACCAGCUAAUUAAUUUGAAGUGUCCUUAAAUAGGGGUGUAACUUGGACAGACCAAUGUUUGGACAAAUUUAGGUAAACAUUUUUAUUACUUGAGUUGAGCUUGAGCUAAGUUUUUUCACGCAACCGAUACCACAUCCUCGGUUGCGUGAUGGCCAUCUAAGAUGCUAGAAGCUGUGGAUGAACUCACUCAUUUGCUUUUGAAGAAGAUGGGUAGCCUCAGAUUGAGGAUGGUACACAUGAUACACAUGUGACUGAUCUUCAGCUUCCACCAGCUUCACCUCCACCCCUUUCUUCUCCAAAAAACCUGCAUACAUAACUCCCCUUUCUUUCAAGAAAUCCAAACCAGCCACAUAUACUACCACUGCUGGAAAACGACCCCAUUCAGCACUGGAAAUUGCAGCCCUUUCAAAGUUACACCCAGAAUAGUCCCGGUUUGAUCCUUGGGGCAAGCUUAGUUUCCAUAACAAAUCGUUCAUCGCAACAUAUCCAGCUGCUUCACCUUCCCUCUCCUUCUCAGUCCUCUCCUCACUCCCAAAAUAAGGAUGUACGGGCAACAAUCCUCUAAUCUUUACAUGAUCAUAAGUUUUUUCCUGAAUUACUUUGAGAGCAACAUUGUGAGCAAUGUUCCCUCCAGCACUAUCCCCUGAGAGAAACACACGAGAGAGGUCGGCUCUCUCAAGCCAUGGUUCAGAGCUGACUUGGUUACUUAGCCACUCAAGUGAACUAUAACAAUCAUCAUAAGCUAUAGGGAGCCUGUUUUCAGGCGCAAGGCGGUAGUCCACAGAAAGAACUAUAGUUUGUGAGGCAACUGCUAAAUCCCCAAGGAAAGUAUGGUACCCAAGCCAUGUGGUUGAGCCAAUGCAGAAGCCACCACCAUGGAAGUAAACUAGAACAGGAAGGUGGCUAGAGGAGCCUGGAGUAUCAGGCAGAAACAUUCUGCCAGAGAUUGACUUGGUUGAGUCAAUCAUCACAUCCUUGGACUUGUAUCCAUGGGAUGAUGACUCAUUUGAGACAGGGGAGAUUUCAGGUUCAAAGCGUUUUACUAAACCAUUGGAAAGGACUUGAAGGAAACUCGGCACUUCUGCAACUAUGGACAUUGCCAAAACUUUGGUAGGAUAAUUUGAAAGUUGAAGAUUUCUGAGAAAUUUCAGAGAGUUUGUGGGAAAGUCACAUAGGAUCUUUAGGGAUGUCAAUGAAUGCUAACCUUUAUAUUAUGUAAAAGAUGACGUUUGGUUGAUCAUGUAAAGCGAACUUAAGGCACAUUUAGGAGUAAAAAAUUCAAUGAGGGCCUACAAAAUAAAGUAGGUUGAUUGUGAAGCAAGGGAAAAUUUCCAUGAAUGUCAAGAAAAUGAGUUAGGUUGAUUGAAAAAAGAAGGGAAAAAUUAAAUGAAGGAAUGCAAAGAAAAAUGGUAGUUCACUUAAUUCAUGCCAAAAAAACAAGGUGGGAAAGUCCGAUUGAGAAAAGUUUGUUGGUGACUGGUAGAUAGGAAUAGGGAGAAACAGUGAUUCUUUGUCUCCUCUGUAUUUUCAGUUCUUGCUUGAUAUGCCCUCUUGUAUGCCGUGGAAUCAAUGGUAUUCCCCCCGGUACUAAUACAUCUGGAUUUGGAUGACAUCGACUCUGUACUGAUAGUCCUCAAGUUCUCUUCCAUGGGCAAUUCAAAGCUGGAGAUCGAAACUGGUUCUGCAGCAUUCAUGUAGAAAUCGCAGUGCUGCUGGCUUCAUGGGUGGUUUUAUGAGGACUUCUGAUGAAUAGAACUUGAGUGUGUAGGGCCAAAUAUUAUCGGUCUGUUGGCUACAGAGUGCCUCAGAUGAUAUUUGUGUAUGUGUAUAUGAACAUAUCCACAGAAAUUGAUUAGGCACAGGACCAUAUCAUUAAUACAAGUUUUACAGUUAACUAAUAUAUCUCCAGUUCUGUAAUUUGUCCCCCUUUAAUGAGAUACUUUCAUAGACUUGUACAUAAUCUCUGAAUUGGUCUAUCAUGUUGGAUUCUCUUUAUUUAAUUCAAUUGUAUAGGAAGUUGUUUUGAAGACUCUUACAUUUCCAAAAGAACUACUCUCUAAGCAGUAAGAGGUCAGUGACUCUGCUCACUGCAAUUUGAGUGUGAACCAAAUUCAGGCUAGAGCACCAAAAAACAACUUUUAUUGUGAUCACAUUACUAGAACAUGAGUGUCACUUAGAAAUUUUGAGCAGAAUUACAACUUGGUAUUUGCUGCAAAUCCCAAAUCUAUGCUGACAGGAUGCAUGCCUAAUAGCUAACUAGAAGAGAAGCUGAUGAAUCGACCAUGGCAAAAUGAGAGGCUAUAAGCUGUGUAUGAACUCACUCAUUUGCUUCUGCAGCAAGCGAGUAGCCUCGGAUUUUGGAUGGAACACAUGAUACACAUGCUGCUCUCCUUCAGCUUCCACCAGCUUCACAUCCACCCCUUUCUUCUCUAAAAAGCCUGCAUACAUAACUCCUCUUUCUUUGCAGAAAUCCAAGCUGGCCACAUAAACCACCACUGCCGGAAACCGACCCCAUUCAUCCCUGGACAGCUCUGCCUUCUCAAAAUUACACCCAAAAUAAUCACGGUUUGAUCCUUCUGGCAAGCUUAGUUUCCAGAUCAAGUCAGUCAACCCCACAUCCUUGGCUGAUUCACUUGCCUUUUCCUUAUCAAUCCUCUCCUCACUCCCAAAAUAUGGAUGUAUGGGCAACACCCCUUUAAUCUUUACCUCAUCACAACCCUUUUGAAUGGCCCUGAUAGCAAUAUUGUGCGCAAUGUUCCCUCCGGCGCUGUCCCCUGACAGAAACACACGAGAGAGGUCAGCUCUCUGAAGCCAUGGUUCAGAGCUCACCUGCUUACUUAGCCACUCUAGUGAGCAAUAACAAUCAUCAUAAGCUGUAGGGAGCCUGUGUUCAGGAGCAAGGCGGUAGUCCACAGAGAGGACUAUUGAUUGGGCGGCCACGGCAAAGUCUCCAAGGAAAGUGUGGUAGCCAAGCCAUGUGGCUGUGCCGAUGCAGAAACCGCCGCCAUGGAAGUAAACUAGAACUGGCAGGAGGCUAGAGGAAGCCGGAGUAUCAGGGACAAAAAUCCUCCCAGAAAUUGGUUUUGUUGAGUCAAUUAUCACAUCCUUGGACUUGUAUCCUGUGGAUGAUGAAUCUUCUGAGGCAGGGGAGGUUUCACGUUCAGGGCGUUUUACUGAACCAUCAGAGAAGAUUUGAAUGACGCCUGGCUCUUCUGCAACCAUGGACAUGGUUAUCAAAACCUUUUUAGUUGGGAUGAUCUGAAAGUGGCAAAUUUCUGUGAAAUUGCAGAGAGUUUUCUGAUGCUGUUAGAUAGGAUUGUUGUGGAUGACAAUAAUGCCGUGAAAAUUUUGGAGAAGUCUAAGAACAUUAGAGAGGUUGAUUGCACGCAAAAGCCAAUGAAUACAAACAAAAUCUGUGGAUCGAUGGAUAAGAGAAAAUAAAAUGGACUGGUGGGUGGGUGGGAAUAGGAAGGAAAGUCCAAGAAAAUUACAGAGGUUGAUGGCACACAAAGGGCGGCCGGUCUGAGGUCUUGUCUUUAUUAUCUUCAUCCGGAAAUUUUUUAAAUACGGUGUUAUUUUAAAUUAUACUCAUUUUUUUUAAUUUAAUAAAAAAAAUUAUUACGCAAAAAUACUUUGAAUCAAACCAUCUUGAUAUAAUUUUUUUUAUUUUUAAAAAUAAUUUAAAAUUUAAAAACUAAUUUAAUUAAUACUAAAUAGUUAUGAAAUUCAAUAAUAUUAAAAAGUUAUACAUUAAAUUCAUAAUUUUCCUUUUAUAUAUAAUCAUAUUUUUGUAAGUUUUUUUCACUAAGAAAACAAAUUCAAAAUCAAGUAAUGCAUAAUGUGUUGAAUUUACUAAUUAGUUUAAUGAUUUUUUAAAAAUAACUUAAAACUUAAAUGAUAAUCUAAUCAAUAUCGAAAAUUUGUGGACAAAAUUUGAUUCAAAAUGACUUUAUUAUUUUUUUAUAUAUAUAAUUUUUUUUUUGGAGUUUUUUCAAUUAACAAGACACAUACAAUUUUUUUUAAAAAUUAUUUAAAACCCCAAUUAAUAUCAUAAAUUUAUAAAUAAAAAUUAGUGUAUAAUAACUCUAUUAUUUUUUCUAUGUAGAAAUAUAUUUUUAUAAAAUUUCUCAUUUUCUCAUUAGAAAAAGGAACUUUAAAUCUAGUGAUAUUUUAUAUUGAAUUUAUUAAUGAGUUUAAUAAUUUUUAAAAAUAAUUUGGAAUUUAAACAAUGUUAAAAAGUUAAAACGUUAACCUUUGUUUAUUUUUUAAUUCAUUUUAAAUAAGAUGUUAACAUCUUAAUUCAUUUUUGUUCAUUUGUUCAUAUUAAUUAUUAUUAUUAUUUAUUUAAAAAAACCAAAAAGGAAUUAUAAUAUUAGAAAGAUGUUAAUAUCAGAAAAUAUAUUAAAAUAGGCUUUUUAUAUAAAAAGAAAUAUAAUAUCUGAUUUUAGUACAAUAUUACUAUUUAUUACUAAAAAUGAUUUAUUUUUUAAUAUAUUUGUAAUUACAAUUUUUUUUUCAUUUUAAUAAGAUUUAAAUUAAAUUUAAUAAAUAUAAUAUAAAUUAAAUUUUCGCUUUUGUGUUGAAACCCCACUUUGAAAAUGCAAUUUCGAUAUAAAAUCUAAAAUCAAAUAUUUUAAAUGCAACUUCAAUUCAAAAUUAGAAGCUAUGGGUUUGUUUGACAACAUUUUCCGAAAACAUUUUUUUAUUUUUCAAAACAAAAAAUUUUAAAAACAUGUUUUACAAAAAAGAAAACUGUUUUUUUAUUUUUUAUUCUCAAUAACAGAAAAUAUGAUAUUUUCAUAUAAUAUCAUUUAUUUGUUUUUAGUUAUUUUCACUUUUUUUUUAAGAGUUAUUUUAAAAAUACUAUAUAAACAUAUAUAAUGAUUAAAAAUAAAGUUAUGAACAUAAAAUUAUUUUUAAAACACAUUUAAAAAUAUUAAAAAUAUAUUAAAAACAUUUUAAAUUAGCUAAUAAACUUUUGUGAUACAAAACAUUAAAGAACAAUUUUCAAAAACUGUUCUUAAAAAAUAUUUUUUUAAACUGUUUUAAAAAACAUUUAACAAACAGAGUACAUAUUUUGAAAUUCAACUUCAAUGCAAAAUCAGAAAAUUAAUUAUACUCUUAAUAAAUAAUAAAUUUAAUUUAUUUUAAAAUAUCUCAAAACUAUUUCUUAUUCAUUUAAAAAAACAAAAAGGAAUUAUACUCUUACAAAGAUGUUAAUAUUCAUAAAAUAUAUUAAAAUAGGUUUUUUUAUAUAAAAAGAAAUAUAAUUUCUGAUUUUAGUAUAAUAUUACUAUUUAUUACUAAAAAUUAUUUAUUUUUUAAUACAUUUGUAAUUAAUUUUUUUUUCAUUUUAAUAAGACUUAAAUUAAAUUUAAUAAAUAUAAUACAAAUUAAAUUUGCAAUGUUUUUAUGAAAAUGAAAAUAAAAAAACUAUUUUUUGAAAAGCAAAAUACCUCAAAACAUAAGUAUAAUAUUUUCUUUUUCUUUUCACUUAGAGAAAUAUUUAUAGUUUUAUUAACUUUUAAGUUAAAAGAGAAGAAAAUCUUUAUUUGGAAAUCUCUUUUAAUUAAAAAAAAAAAAAAGGAAUUUCUCUCAGUUUGCCAGAAUAAAAUUUCUUUUGAAAUAUACUAGUUGUGUAAUCAACAUGACAUCAUCCAUUCUGCUCAAUUACAUUACUUGAAAAUGAGUUCCACUGAGAAAUUUUGAACAGAAAUACAACUUGGUAUUUGCUGCAGAUCCCAAAUCUAUGCUGACAGGAUACAUGUCUCAUAGCUAACUAGAAGAGAAGCCGAUGAAUCGUGGAUGGCCAUAUGAGAGGCUAAAAGCUGUGUAUGAACUCACUCGUUUGCUUUUGCAGCAAGCGAGUGGCCUCAGAUUUUGGAUGGAACAUAUGAUACACAUGCUGCUCUCCUUCAGCUUCCACCAGCUAAAUUAUUUGAGGUGCUGUUACCCGUGAAGCAGUAGAAGAUUAAUGGUGAUGUACAUCCCAAAUGAGCAGGAUAUGACAAUUUUGGAAAGCAGAUGAUGAAAAUUUGGCGAUGAUUCUGGGCAGAGCACCCGAGAUGCAGUGGGGAGUCACCUUACAACUUAGAUUUUAGGAUCGCUAUAAUUUCAUUAUUAGAAAUGCAUUUUGCUUGCUAUAUUUUAGAUAGAAGUACAACUUUAUGCAUACUCGUCAUGCUGACAGCAUACGUGUUUUAUUGAUCGCAAGAGGCUUGUGAUGACCAUCUAAAAGUUAUGAAUGAACUCACUCAUUUGCUUCUGAAGCAAACGAGUCGCCUCAGAUUCAGGAUGGAGCAUAUGAUACACAUGCUUCUCUCCUUCGGCUUCCACCAGCUUCACCUCCACCCCGUUCUUCUCCAGAAAGGCUGCAUACAUAACUCCCCUUUCUUUUAAGAAAUCCAAACCAGCCACAUAAACCACAGCUGGUGGAAACCGACACCAUUCAGCCCUGGACAAUUCUGCCAUCUCAUAGUUACACCAAUAAUGGUCUCGGUUUGACCCUUCUGGCAAGCUUACUUUCCACAUCCAGUCGGUUAAUGCCAAAUUCUCAGCUUCUCCACUGGCCCUCUCCUUCUCAAUCCUCUCCUCGCUCCCAAAAAAAGGAUGUAUUAGCAACAACCCUUUAAUCUUGACUUGAUCACAAGAUUGUUCCUGAAUUGUUCUGAGAGCAACAUUGUGAACGAUGUUUCCUCCAGCACUGUCCCCUGAGAGAAACACUCGAGAGAGGUCAGCUCUCUGAAGCCAUGGUUCAGAGCUCACCUGGCAACUUAGCCACUCAAGUGAACUAUAACAAUCAUCAUAAGCUAUAGGGAGCCUGUUUUCAGGUGCAUGUCGGUAGUCCACAGAAAGAACUAUUGAUUGGGAAGCCACCGCAAAGUCUCCAAGGAAAGUAUGGUACCCAAGCCAUGUCGUUGAGCCUAAACAGAAACCGCCACCAUGGAAGUAAACUAGAACUGGAAGCCGGUCAGAGGAGCCCGGAACAUCAGGCAGAAAUAUUCGUGCAGAUAUUGGCUUGGUUGAGUUAAUGAUUACAUCCUUGGACUUAUAUCCAUUGGAUGAUGAAUCAUUGGAGGCAGGGGCGCUUUCCCAUUCCACACGUUUUAUUGAACCAUCAGAAAAAACUUUGAAGUAAGCUGAUGCUUCUCCAAUAAAGGACAUUGUUCUCAAAGCUUUGGAAGGGUGAUUUGAAGGUUGAAGAUGUCUGUGAAGUUGCAAAACGUUUGUUAGGGUAGUUAUAUAGGGUUUUGGGGAUGUCAAGGAAGACUAACAUUUAUUCACGCAACCGAGGAUGUUGGAUUGGUCACUAAAAGUGAAUUUGCAGCAUGGAGGAAAUUUUCAGUCAGGACAAAUAAAUUGGCAUAGUUGACAAUGAAAGCAAGGAAAAAGUUGGAGUGAAUGCCAACAAAAUGAGUUAUGGGCGGCUAAGACAAUUAACACCAGCAAAAUGAAAAUCCAAUUGGUGCAGCCCAAGAAAAAUAUGAUGGUCUUCUUCUCCCUGUCCAAUCAAGACAAGAAUUAACUCCCUAAUUUUUUACAUUUGAUUGAAAAUACCGGAGAUAUAUUCUCUGAUUCCUUCAAUCAAAUUUGUCUACAAGGUUCAAGGCGUUAUACUAAACCAUUGGAAAAGAUUUGCAGGAAACCGACACUUCAGCAACUAUGAGCAUUGUUCUCAAAACUUUGGUGGGAUGAUUGAAAAGUCCAAGAUUUCUGUGGAAUUUCAAAGAGUUUGUGGGAAAGUUCUAUAGGAUCUUUAGGGAUGUCAAGGAAUGCUAACAACAUAUUUAAAUGACGACAUUGGGUUGAUCAUGUCAAGUGAAAUCAAGGCAUGUUUAGGAGAGGUGGGGGGGCGGCAAAAAUUUAAGGAAUGUCAGGAAAACAAGUUAGAUUGAUUGACGAAAUGAGGGAGAAACCAAAGGCUCAUUUGGCCAUGUUUUCUAAAACUUGUUUUUAAGUUAAAUAACAAAAAACAAUUUUCAGAAAACAUAGUCAAUUUAAAAAACAAGUGAAAAUAACUUCUACUUGUUCUCUAUUUCACUUUGUUUUUAAAAAUUAUUUUAAGAGAACAACAACCAAAUAAAGUUAAGAAUUUUUUAAAAAUAUUUUUAAAUCAUAUGGUCAAAUAUCCAAAUGAACAAAUGCUGGGAAAAAUGAAAGUUUAAUUAAUGUAUGCCUAAAAGAACUAAGUUGGAAAGGCUGAUUGAGAAAAGUCAGUUGGUGGCUGGUGGAUAGGAAUAGGGAGAAACAGUGAUCAACUUCUCCUCGUCUAAUAUUCAUCUAGAGGGAAAAUUUCAGUCAAGACAGAGAAAGUGAGAAAGAUGGUUAUGAAAGCAAGGGAAGUUUUAUGUGAAGAAAAAGAAAAUGACAGUUGAUUUGGAAAGGGAGGGAAAAUUUUAGUCAAGGCAAAUAAAAUACCAAGAAAAUGAGUAAUGGACUGUGGGGAAAUUUAAGAAGAACAAUAUUUGCACCAAUUCCUAAAUUUUACUUGCUAUUUAGAAAUAUGAGUACAGCUUUAUAUUUUCUGAUCUUCACUGAAAGCAUACAUGUUUUAUUGAUAAGAAGGGGCCUGUGAUGGCCAUCUAAGAUGCUAGAAGCUGUGGAUGAACUCACUCAUUUGCUUUUGCAGAAGAUGGGUAGCCUCAGAUUGAGGAUGGUACACAUGAUACACAUGUGACUGAUCUUCAGCUUCCACCAGCUUCACCUCCACCCCUUUCUUCUCCAAAAAACCUGCAUACAUAACUCCCCUUUCUUUCAAGAAAUCCAAACCAGCCACAUAUACUACCACUGCUGGAAAACGACCCCAUUCAGCACUGGAAAUUGCAGCCCUUUCAAAGUUACACCCAGAAUAGUCCCGGUUUGAUCCUUGGGGCAAGCUUAGUUUCCAUAACAAAUCGUUCAUCGCAACAUAUCCAGCUGCUUCACCUUCCCUCUCCUUCUCAGUCCUCUCCUCACUCCCAAAAUAAGGAUGUACGGGCAACAAUCCUCUAAUCUUUACAUGAUCAUAAGUUUUUUCCUGAAUUACUUUGAGAGCAACAUUGUGAGCAAUGUUCCCUCCAGCACUAUCCCCUGAGAGAAACACACGACAGAGGUCGGCUCUCUCAAGCCAUGGUUCAGAGCUGACUUGGUUACUUAGCCACUCAAGUGAACUAAAACAAUCAUCAUAAGCUAUAGGGAGCCUGUUUUCAGGCGCAAGGCGGUAGUCCACAGAAAGAACUAUAGUUUGUGAGGCCACUGCUAAGUCCCCUAGGAAAGUAUGGUACCCAAGCCAUGCGGUUGAGCCAAUGCAGAAGCCACCACCAUGGAAGUAAACUAGAACAGGAAGGUGGCUAGAGGAGCCUGGAGUAUCAGGCAGAAACAUUCUGCCAGAGAUUGACUUGGUCGAGUCAAUCAUCACAUCCUUGGACUUGUAUCCAUGGGAUGAUGACUCAUUUGAGACAGGGGAGAUUUCAGGUUCAAAGCGUUUUACUAAACCAUUGGAAAGGACUUGAAGGAAACUCGGCACUUCUGCAACUAUGGACAUUGCCAAAACUUUGGUAGGAUAAUUUGAAAGUUGAAGAUUUCUGAGAAAUUUCAAAGAGUUUGUGGGAAAGUCACAUAGGAUCUUUAGGGAUGUCAAUGAAUGCUAACAUUUAUAUCAUGUAAAAGAUGACGUUUGGUUGAUCAUGUAAAGCGAACUUAAGGCACAUUUAGGAGAGAAAAAUUCAAUGAGGGCCUACAAAAUAAAGUAGGUUGAUUGUGAAGCAAGGGAAAAUUUCCAUGAAUGUCAAGAAAAUGAGUUAGGUUGAUUGAAAAAAGAAGGGAAAAAUUAAAUGAAGGAAUGCAAAGAAAAAUGGUAGUUCACUUAAUUCAUGCCAAAAAAACAAGGUGGGAAAGUCCGAUUGAGAAAAGUUUGUUGGUGACUGGUAGAUAGGAAUAGGGAGAAACAGUGAUUCUUCGUCUCCUUUGUAUUUGCAGUUCUUGCUUGAUAUGCCCUCUUGUAUGCCGUGGAAUCAAUGGUAUUCCCCCCUGUACUAAUACAUCUGGAUUUGGAUGACAUUGACUCUGUACUGAUAGUCCUCAAGUUCUCUUCCAUGGGCAAUUCAAAGCUGGAGAUCGAAACGGUUCUGCAGCAUUCAUGUAGAAAUCGCAGUGCUGCUGGCUUCAUGUGUGGUUUUAUGAGGACUUCUGAUGAAUAGAACUUGAGUGUGUAGGGCCAAAUAUUACCGGUCUGUUGGCUACAGAGUGCCUCAGGUGAUAUUUUUGUAUGUAUAUAUGAACAUAUCCAGAGCAAUUGAUUAGGCACAGGACCAUAUUAUUAGUACAAGUUUUACAGUGAACUUAUAUAUCUCCAGUUCUGUAAUUUGUCCCCCUUUAAUGAGAUACUUUCAUAGACUUGUACACAGUCUCUGAAUUGGUCUAUCAUGUUGGAUUCUCUUUAUUUAAUUCAAUUGUAUAGGAAGUUGUUUUGAAGACUCUUACAUCUCCAAAAGAACUACUCUCUAAGCAGUAAGAAAUCAGUGGCUCACUGCAAUUUGAGUGUGAACCAAAUUCAGGCUAGAGCACCAGAAAACAACUUUUAUUGUGAUUACAUUACUACAACAUGAGUUUCACUUAGAAAUUUUGAGCAGAAUUACAACUUGGUAUUUGCUGCAAAUCCCAUAUCUAUGCUGAUAGGAUGCAUGCCUAAUAGAUAACUAGAAGAGAAGCUGAUGAAUCGACCAUGGCAAAGUGAGAGGCUAAAAGCUGUGUAUGAACUCACUCAUUUGCUUCUGCAGCAAGCGAGUAGCCUCGGAUUUUGGAUGGAACAUAUGAUACACAUGCUGCUCUCCUUCAGCUUCCACCAGCUUCACCUCCGCCCCUCUCUUCUCCAAAAAGCCUGCAUACAUAACUCCCCUUUCUUUGAAGAAAUCCAAGCCGGCCACAUAGACCACCACUGCCGGAAACCGAUCCCAUUCUUCCCUGGACAGCUCUGCCUUCUCAAAAUUACACCCAAAAUAAUCACGGUUUGAUCCUUCUGGCAAGCUUAGUUUCCACAACAAGUCAGUCAACCCCACAUCCUUGGCUGAUUCACUUGCCUUUUCCUUAUCAAUCCUCUCCUCACUCCCAAAAUAUGGAUGUAUGGGCAACACCCCUUUAAUCUUUACCUCAUCACAACCCUUUUGAAUGGCCCUGAUAGCAAUAUUGUGCGCAAUGUUCCCUCCGGCGCUGUCCCCUGACAGAAACACACGAGAGAGGUCAGCUCUCUGAAGCCAUGGUUCAGAGCUCACCUGCUUACUUAGCCACUCUAGUGAGCAAUAACAAUCAUCAUAAGCUGUAGGGAGCCUGUGUUCAGGCGCAAGGCGGUAGUCCACAGAGAGGACUAUUGAUUGGGCGGCCACGGCAAAGUCUCCAAGGAAAG